AAGAGAGAUCAAGAUGAACGAGGGUGGUAGUAAAGUUGAACAGCCAUGGGUAUAUUGAAGAAUCAUAAUCGUUGUCAGAGAGAUCAAGGAAAGCAAGAGGGGCAGAGGAAUUAACAGGGGAAAAAGACGGAGUAGUGAGGGGUGGGAGGCUACAACAUGGUAAGUUUAAGUGAAUGAGAGAAGGGAGUUUAUUAAUUGCUUGUGACUAGUGGAUGGCUUUACUAAGGUUAACAUACUUCAAGUCAAGGUGUCUUAAAGACGAAAGAUGAGAAAGCCACUCAAGAUUUCCACAAUUCAAAUCAUAAUUAUAGCUGAGAUCAAGGGAAAGCAAGUUGGAAAGAUUUCCGAAAUGGCUGGGAAGACGUCCAGUGAAAUUGGCAUAAGAGAGACUGAGGUGUUGGAUUUUGGUGAGAGAAGCAAGGAAUGGAGGUAUGGGUCUCCCUUCAAAAUCAUUAGAGCUCAGAUCAAGGGAAAGCAAGUUGGAAAGAUUUCCGAGUUGGCUGGGAAGACGUCCAGUGAAAUUGGCAUAAGAAAGAUUGAGGUAUUGGAUUUUGGAGAGAGAAGCAACGAAUGGAGGUAUGUGACUCCUUUCAAAAUCAUUACAGCUGAGAUCCAAAUGAGUCAAGUGCUCCAACUCAAGCAGUGAAGGGCUUAUCUCACCUCUUAGAGACUGGAACUUAUGCACAUAUUCAUCCUCAAAUUCAGUUGGCGGUGCAGGAAGAUGAAGCAUGACGAUGUGACCUGACUGGUUGCUACACCGGACUCCUCUCCAUUGGCAACAAUCUCUUGUGUCCCAAGAAGACAAAAUGCCAUAGUCAUCCACAAGGCCAUGUUUGAAGCGAAGCAGAGCUUGUCUCUCCCUCUCUACGCACCCCACAGUGGUUCCAAGCCCAGCUUUGGCACAUACCACAACAAGCACAAGAAAGCUAAAAAGGAGGCAUUCAAAGGAACGCAUAGCCAUAGUCAUUCAAAGGAGGCAGUCCUGCAAGUAACACUGGGCUUUUUUGUGGAUUCACACAACACCAAGCACUCAUAUAUAUAAUAUUAUCCAUCUGCCUUGUUUUUAUUUUUCCUUUUUGCUAAUUAUAUUAUCCAAAAAUAAAUUGAAGUAUUCAUUUUUUAUGGUAUGGUACAGAAUUUUCACACAUGGCUUCCUCCAUGUUGUUACCAAUUUUUCCAUAGGGCACUUCUAAUAUAUUUUUGGAAAAAUGAAUGGAUGAUCUAAUUUUAAUAUUAAUUCAACACAAGUGUAGGUGUCAUUUGAAUACUCUUCUUUUUUUGUGCUUUAAAAAACACAGAAUAAUAAUAAUUCCUAUUUAUGAAAAUUUUCAUUUUACCUUCAUAUUAGUGACCAAAAUAAUGAUGUUAAAAUUUUAAUGAAUUAACAUGAUUUCUUAAAUUGAAUUCUUAUUAUUGAAAAUCAAUAAGUAAUUUGAAAUAUAUAAAUAAAUUUAAUCCAAAAGUUAGAUUAUUGGAGUAAAAAAAUAAUUUAGGCUAAUAUUCUUCUAGAGGGAAAAUUACCUACAAUUUUUUUUCUUAUUAGACUAUACUAAACCUUGUUAAGUGUUAAUAAGAUAUACAAUGACAUUUUUUUCUAUUAUUUUUUAAUUAAAUUAUAAGAAAUUCAUUUAAAUUUUCCAUCCAAAAAAAGGAAACUUUCAUUUAAAUCAUUUUGUAGUUAAAUUAAAUAAUAUCAUAUUUAAACUUUUUCAUCCCAAUUCUUUUUUGUUUAGUGUUCACUCUACAUUGUAUAUACAAAUGUUUCAACAAUUAUCAAAAUUAUGUUUUUAAAAUUAUUUUCAAAAAUCUUCAAAAUAGAUUCAAUGGAAAUUUUUUCUAUCAAAAGGUCCCACCAUGUGGAAUUGUUCUUCUUAUGAAGACUUUGUGGUUGUGGAAUUUUUUUCAUUGCAUCCAUGUCUCAUCUAUACUAAUCAAAACCACUUUCAAAUGUGAAGCUUAAUUCAAAUACGAUAGGUAAAAUCAUUAAAUUAUUAGAUGAUUAUUCGGGUUGGAUAUAAAUAUCCUAUAAGUUUAGGGUUUUAUUUUCCUUAAAGAGUGGAUAGUGGACUAUGGUGGGUCUCACAAAUGAAAAAAGAAAUGGCAUAUGAAAGUACCUGUCUUGACACUUUUUCCACAUGUAUUGCUUUUCAGUUUCUAGUCAUCUUUAUAGACUUCAUAGGCUAAGGGCUCAGUCAAAUUUGAUGGGUGGGAAUAUGAAUCAUGUGCACUUUUAAAAAAGAAACCCUUGUAGAAUAAUUAAAAUGUCACACUUUCACACAAGUAUUAGCCUUUGAAAAUUAAAGGUAGUGUUCAUACCAUUUUUUCUUCAUUCAUUGAAAGGGAAAGUAAUGAGGUUAUAUUCAAAGAUCAUGACAUGAGGCCCCAAAUUAUCAUUCCAAAAUAGAACCUUAUGAUGUACAAUCCAAUCUCAUAUAAUCAAAAUUUACUUUCACUACACUCUAAAUUAAUUCCAUUCAUCUUAUAACACUUCUUAAUAUAAAGUUAACAAAUUUAUGAUAAUCUACUCAAAAAAAGUUGGGAUAUCUUCUAUCCUUUUCACAUGUACCAAAUUUCCAAAUCGAUGCUUUGACAUGAUACGACAUAUUUUUUUCCUUAAAAAAUAACAUGUUUUCUUAUUUAUUACUUAGUUAAGAAAUAAAAAGUGAAUUUUAAUGUAGAAAUAAAUAUUGCUUUUAUUAUAAAUUGAAUAUGUUAUAAAAAGAAAUGUACUUUUCUCUUAGUUUUAAAUUUUUUCUUGAAACAAUAAUUUAAAAAAUUCAUUUUCAUAUUGAUUAUUUAUUUAUUUUUAAAAAAAGAAAUAAUCAUUUAUGUUUCCAUAUUUAACGUUUUUUUCUUUUAGGAAAAGCACUACAAAUUAAUUGAUAAAUAAAAAAUUAAAAAUUUUUAAAUGAAAAUAAACAUUUUGUUUUAAUUCGAAAAAAAAAGAUUCAAAACAUAUUUUUGGAUUUUUAAAGAAAAAAAAAAUAACAUUUAGCUAUUUUUAUUUCCAUUAUUUUCAUUAAAAAUACUAAAAAAAAUUAGAGUAAAUUAAAAUUAAUAUUUGUCUUAUAUUUAUAUUUAUUUAUUUUCAUUAUGUUUGGAAAAUCGAUGGUGUCUUAUUAUUGUGAAUUGCAUGCAACAAAAAACUUAAUAUUAUUAAUUAUCAACACUUUGCUAAUCACGCUUUAUAUCAAUAAGCCCUAUUUAGAGGCUCUAGAAAACCCUAAAACAUGAAUAAAAUUAUGAAAAGGUAAACCUAACUAAUAUGGUAACUAAUUAGGAUUUUUAUUUCUUUCUUAAAACUAUUAGAUUACCUAAAAAUGAAAAGAAAUUAGAAACUUAGAGUUCGAAAACAAAAAAUAAUGGUAACCUAUAUAUAAAAUGUAGAAGCUCUUAAAUAAAAGUAUGGAUUUAUCUUAUAGUCUUAGAAAUCACAUCUAAAAAUUUAAAAAUUUAAGAUAGUAAAAUAUUUUUAAUACCUUCUCCAAGAUUUUUUUUUUUGGCAUUAAAUUUAUGUGGGAGUUAUUAUUAUUUUACUUUUAAAAAUUAAAAACAAGAAGUGUGUUGAUAUGACAUCUUACUUUUAAUAAUUAAAAACUUAAUUUAUAAAAAUGAAUUAUAAUUAAAUUUCUAAUAAAGAAGUCUUUUGGAUUUCAAGGACAAAAGAACUAUUUUAGAAUAUAGAGACUUUAUAACAUCUUUUAAGGAUAAUUCUAAAACUUCCUAAAUUUCAAAUAAAAAUCAAAUAUUAUAAUUAUAAUUAUUAUUAUUUAUGAGUAAAGCAAGAGAAUGCUAUGAACAAACAUUCAAAUACUAAUUAUGAUAAUUAUGCUUGUGGAAUUUUUUGUCAAUUGUAUCUACGUUCCAUCUAUACCAACUAAAACUGCUUUCUAAUGUGAAGGUUGAAAGUAGAAGUUGAUCAAUUAACAUGUGGUAGGUAAAAAUCGUUAAAUUAUUGAAUAAGUUAUUGACUAUGAGUCUUGGUCUAUUGGGGUCAACAAUUGCACCAACUAUGAAAUAGAAGAAUUAAUAAAACAAAAAGUAAUUCCAUGAUUGUCUUUUUUUUUUUUUUUUUUUAUUUUAAGUAUGGUCUUGAAAGAAAGAAUAUGAUAAAGCCAACUUCCCAUAUGAUGAAUUUCAAAACUUUUGGGUCCACUCAAUGGGCAAGGUUCAAACCUAACUUGUAGUAUAAGUCACAUUAUAGUAUCUUUUACGACUAAAUUUAUCUUUAUAUUUUUUAAGUCUAUGUCUGCUUGAUUAUUUCGAUUGGAUAUAGAUAUCCUAUGAGUUUAGGAUUUUAUCUUACUUAAAAAGUGGAUUGUUGACUUUGGUGGGUCACAUUAAGGAAAAAGAAAAUGCCCUCUUCAUCAAAACACUUUCUCCACAUGCUUUGCUUUUCCGUUUCUUGCUAUCUUUAGAGACUUUAGGGUAAGGUCUCGGUCAAAUUUGAUGGGUGGAAAUAUGAAUCAUGUGCACUUUUAAAAAAGAAGCCCUUGUAGAAUAAUUAAAAUGUCACACUUUCACAUUAGUAUUAGCCUUUGAAAAUGAAAGGUAGUGUUCAUACCAUUUUUUCUUCAUUCAUUGAAAGGGAAAGUAAUGAAGUUCCAUUCAAAGAUCAUGACAUGGGGCCCCAAAUUAUCAUUCCAAAAUACAACCCUUAUGAUGUACAAUCCAAUCUCAUAUAAUCAAAAUUUACUUCCUCUAAGAAAUAUACACACUACCCUGUGACACUCUAAACUAAUUUAAUCCAUCUUAUAAUACUUCUACUUCUUAAUAUAAUAUUAACAAAUUUAUAAUAAUUUACUCAAACAAGGAUUGUUCAUCUUCUAUCCUUUUUCACAUAUGUCAAAUUUCCAAAUCUAUGAUUUGACAUGAGAGAGCGUCAUUUUUUUUUGCUUAAAAAACAUGUUUUCAUUAUUUAUUACUUAGUUAAGAAAUAAAAGGUGAAUUUUAUUAUAGAAAUAAAUAUUACUUUUACAAUAAGACAGUGAAUCUAUGAAGUGUUUUUAGCCUUUUUAACAUUUGAAAUUUUUUAUUUUUCAAGUAUUAGAAAUGUCAAAAAUAUUUCUUAGAAUCACUACCAAACACACACUAAAUUGAGUAAACCAAAAAAUAAAUGUAUUUUUCUCUCAAUUUUGAAUUUAGAUAAUAUAAAAAAUUCUUUUUCAUGUUGAUUAUUUAAAAAAAAAAAGAAUUAAUCAUUUAUAUUUCCAUAUUUAACGCUCUUUCUCUUAGGAAAAUCACUAUAAAUUAAUUGAUGAAUAAAAAGCUAAAUUUAAAAUAGAAAAUAAACAGUUUGUUUUAUUUUGAAAAAAAAAAUGAAGAUUCAUAGUAUAUUGUUGAAAUAUAUUGAAUAGUAAUCUAAAUAGUAUAUAUUGAAGGUUCACUCAUGUCUUAUUGUUUAUUUAUUAUUUUUAACUAUAAUAUUUUUUUUUAUAUUUUUAAUUAUAUUUGAAUAAUAAAUUAUUCCCUUUUAAAUUAUUAAAAUAUUUUUAAAUAUGAAAAUUUAAGUUUGGCAUGGUUAAUAUUUAUUUUAAAUUAUUAAUUAAUAAUAUAUAUUUCAUAUUUUUUUAUUAUUUAAGAUUAAUUUAACUUUUUAUUAUGAUUUUAAAAUAAUAAAAAUUUGGAAAUUUGGAACUAGUUGUUUUACACGUCAGCACUCGCUUUGAUUUAAAAAUUUGGUGCAGGCGCCUUAAGGCCCAGUCGAAGCAUGAAGCCUCUAGCCCAUGGGCCCAGUCGGAGCCCAAUCCAAGCCUCAAUUAUGCACAGGCAGGAAAUAUAGCUUCUUAGUGGAUAUAUCACUCCUUUUAUAUGCUUCAUGAUUGAGAUUGGUUGCCACGUGUCAUCUGGCAGUGCUUUUCAUCCCAGUUUUGGGUCGGACAUAUUCAUAUAUGGUGAAUUUAGUGCGGGCCUGGGCCAUGUUCUGUUUGGGCUUUUCCUGCAUAACCUUAUUAAAAUAAAUAAGUACUGGUAGACCCCUUUCCUUUGAUGCUGAAAAUAUAUAUAUAUAAGUUAUUCACGAUCAUAGAACCAUGUUUCGUAAGUGAAACAUAUUAGUUGUCCGCUCUUAGAUUUGGCAAAAAGGAUCGAAGAAGGAUAAGGAUCUCAUCAACAACAAUUGCUUCAUUGAUGUUUCAUCAUUUCAAUUCUCAUCAUAUUCCCUCUACCUCUAAGAUGUUGUGCAUCUACACGUCAUAUGUUAGUCCCUCUGAUAAAAUUUACAUAUAUAAUCGAGAGAUAUAAGAUAUAAAGUUUUCAUGAUGGAAAAAUUGCAAGCUAGUACGAUGUUUGAAAAUAUUCAUAGUUUAAGGCAUAGUUUUUUUUUCCAUUACCAAUUAGGUUCAAUAUCAUGUUAUUAGUGUGGCGAAUUGCAAAUCACUAUUGAAAACAUCAUUUAUAUGUUAUAUGUAAAUCUAUGCAUGUAUAGGAAUGAAAAUUAAGGGGGACCCUUUUGAUUUAAGGUUGUCAUUUUUUUAUUAAGGCUCGAAAUGUUAAAUGAGUGUCAUACUAAUUUAGAAUGUUUGAGAUUGCUAGUUGUUAGAUUUGGUUUGGUAUUGAUACUGGUGUAUGCUUUUAUACUAUUAUUAAUAUUAUAGAAAUAGAAAAGAAUUUAAUUUAAAAUUAAAACAAAAUAAAAACUUAACUAAACUACUCAUUAAUCAUACCAAAAAAAUAAUUAAAAAAACUCUAAAUAGGACAACAAACUUCUAUUUAAACCAAUUUCAUCAAUCUAAAUAUUACCAAACUACCAUUGCCUUUCUUUAUCAUCAACAAAUGUUAUGAGUUCAUGUUUCAUCACUUUGGCUUAUAAAUGUUAUAUGCUACUAUUUUACUCUUUUCUUUCCGGACAUGUUUGCAUGUUUCCCAAAUAAUGAAAUGAAUGAGAAUUAUGCUUGUGAGUGUUUAGCUAGGUUGACAAUUUCAGACAAAAUUUCUAAGUGUCUCAUAACUCGAUUUUCUGAAUCCUUCCUUGAACUACUUGCCCAAUGAAGAUCAAGUGUAGAAAUUUCUUAAAGGCCAAGGUAUGUAGUUGAGGUUGUAGAUUGAUGAAAUUGAAUCAACCAAGUUUUUCAAAUUGCUAUUUUUCUUGAAAUAUAUUUUUAAAGUGUCAAGGAGGCAAAGACAACAAGUUUUUUCAACUAAGUGUUCAUGUGCCUUGUUCUAGGAUCGAUCUAGGUUUUGCUUGAUCUUUUCUUAGCCAUUGGAUCAAGGGCUUCUUUCCUUUUAAAACCAAAAUGCCUUCAAUUUAGGGUUAAGGAGACUAGCAACCAUUUUCACUCUCUUAAGCUCUCUCUCUUAAUCCAUUUAGAGAGUGUUUGGUUGCUAAGAAAAUCCUCAUUCACCUUGAUAUCAAAAACAUUUUCAAUUGGAUUUUCUUAAAAAUGGGUUAAUUCCAUAUCAUUCUUUCAUCUCUCAUUUUUUUUUAAUUUAUUUUGGUUUGGAUGAAAACCUAUUUUCUUCUUAUGUGGAUUCAAGAAGAGACUAAGAUCGAGCUUGGUAUGGACUCCAAGUGUGCUAUGUGUGAAGCUAAAAGUAGAAAUAUGCUAGUUAAGUGGUUCGGGAAGGAUUGGUAGACUUGAGUUAGGUAAAACCGUGUAUUAAGUUUUUAUUCUUUAUAAUGGAUGUCUUCAAUUGGUUGUAGUUUUACGGUUUUUUUUUUUUAUUUCUUUGAAUAUUUUUCACAUUCAAAUUGGGUGUCAUUGUCUCUUUCUCUCAUCUACUUUUUGAUUUAUUUGCAGUUAUUGAUAUCAUUUGUUACUUGAGCAUAUAUGUUAGAUGGAUGAAAAACAAAAAAUAAGUUGAAAUUUAUGUAAUUAUCUUUGAAUCUCUUGAAUAAUUUUGUUCAAUUUGAUAAAGAUAUCUAGUAGUAAUUGGAAAUGUGUUAAGGAUGUUAUGAAUUUGUGUUGGGGAGUGUUAAAGUAUUUUCAUGUAACUUGCAUUUACAAAUUGUUGGGAGAGUGUUGUUGUAUUCAUGCUUUCAUGUGAUUUUUAUUCAUUAUUGAAAAGAUUUUGAAUAGAGCAAUAUAAAGUCUCCUCCACUCCCCCCUCUAAAUGUAAUCCAUCAUUGAUAUUCACCCUCAAUGCUCAUUUUCUUCAUUACAUUUGUUUAUUUUGGCUUAGGAAUCAAAAUAUUGAGUUGGGUCUAUAAGGAUGUCAACAAUCCUAAGCCAUCGACACCGAGCAAUGUCUUGCUAACAUGCAUCCAUAUAUGUACAACUUCUAACUAGUGGACUGCUAUGAUCAGCUACAUAGAUUCUACUUGAUAGAAUAGCAUGCAUCGUUGGACAUAUAUGUAUAGGUCCGUAUUAUUUAGUUAGAUAAAUAUAAUUUUUUUUUUUACUUCUUCAAUUACUUUUGUGUGGAUUCUAAAAGCAAUUUAUAUAAAUAAAAAUUUCAUAUAUUCAUAUCCAGUUUUGUUAAUGUUUCCACAUAGAGUAACCUUAUGAAAUUGUUUUCUUAAUUUUCGGACUUACCCUAUCAACCAUCCAUGUAUAGUGUUUGAUAAAUCUCCUUGAUCAUUUGAGGGUAUAACACUUAGAGCAUGCUUAGCCUGAUUUUUUAAAACACUUCUAUUAUUAUAAAAAGUAUUUAGGUAUUUGCACUACAAUAAAUAUAAUGUUUUAUGAUAAAUUAAUUUGUGAUUAAAAAAUAGUAUUUUGUGGUAAAAGAUUUUUUUUCCAAAAAAAAUUUAUUUGUGGUGAGUUUAUUGCUACAAGUUCGUGAGUAGUUAUUUUUAACCAUAAAAUUUAAUUUUAUAGAAAAACCAAAUAAUUUUUCCACAAAAUAAAGUUUGUGUCAACAUGUCACUUUUCACCACAAAAUAAAAUUUGUUGUAACAUAUCAUUUUUCGCCAUAAAACAAGUUUAUAGCACCAUGUCAUUUUUUCUAUGAAAAUAAUCAUGGUACAAAGUCACUUUUUUGCCAUACAAAAAUUAUGGUGAAAAAUCACCCUUCCACCAUGAAAUAAAAUUUCUCGUGAAAUGUGUUUUAUAAGCUUUCAAAUUCAAAAUGAGAUUAAAUAUAACAAGCUUUAAGAGAAAUUUAACCGUAUUGUAUAAUCUUUUAACUCAUAAAUUUAAGGUUACUUUUGGUUCUUGGAAAAUAUUAAAGAAAGAAAAAAAUUAAAAUUAUGAAAAAUGAUUUUCUUAUGUUUGGUUAUCCUGUGAAAAAAAUCAAAUAUAGUUAAAAUAACUUAGAAACUUAUACAUUUUCAAAUAAUUUAAUCUUUAUAUUAGUGAGUUAAAAUAAGUAAAAUGAGUUUGAAUGAACAAAUAAAAAUAAUUCAUUGAUUUUUAAUCUUUUUUUUUUCCUCUACUUUUUUUUUUCUUAUGUUUAUCCUCCCUGUUUUCUUUCCCUCAUAUUUUCCCUCAAAUUUUCUAAAAAUCAAACAUAGCCUAAAGGAAUACUAUAUCACUCACUCAAACUAGUAGACCAAUUAAUCUAUACGAAAAAUUUGAAGGUAAAAGGAAAACUAUAACUUCUUGUGCUCCAUUAUAUUGGAAACUUGUGUAAAACCACAAGCAGGAUCAUCUAAGGUACACUUUACUAUGCCCACCUUCUCCUAUCACCAUUUCAAGGCUGAAAUCUCUAGUAAUUGCAAACUUCAACUCUGAUGAUGUGAACCUUUUGCUUUUAGAAGUAUCAACCUCUAGAAUAGUUUCUAUGCCAUGAAGUUGAGAAGCUACAUUGUCUUUGCAAUUUCCCGUCCAUUGUUCUCUGCUUCCCUGUUGUUGUUGAUGUUGAGGAAGAUGACAUGGUCAAUGACUUCUGAAAAUGAUGGGUGGUUCCUGGUUUAUUAAGGUACUUGUGUGUUGUAGAAGACGAGACAGUAGAUUGAAGCUUUUUCUUUUGCUUGUGAGUUCAAUCUUCCUUAGAAACUAAUGGAUUCUGGCUGCAUUUGUUGUUUUGGAAAAUGAUGUCCUUUAGGAUAAGAAUGUAGUUAUUUUGUUGAUUGAGAUCCUUCCUGUACAAUCUUCAAGAUCAGGAAAAGGACAUGAUAUCAGCAGCACAAACAUAAUGAACAACAUGUUAAGAUUUCCAAUCAGGAUCAAUAACUUUGAGUGAGUAGAAAUUUUAAAGUAUUAGCUUCUUACCCAAAUAAGGUCAGGAAUGAGGAAACCUUUGCAAUCUGCAAUGUAAGGAAAGCAACCCAAUCGAGAACAAGAAGCCCAAGUUCCAUCCAGUUUAAACAUUUUAAUACUGACCUAAGAUGGUUACAUAAAUCAGUUCUUGAAAACUUUGAAAUGAAAACCAGAUUUUCAUAGUAUACUCACCUCUAGUUCUUCAAAUUUCCUGGUGGCAUUUUGAGUGCCAUUACUUAGGCCACUAGGAAGAGGCUUGUACUCUACUUCCUUCGUACCAUUGCUUGACAGGAUGAAAAAGAUUUAGCAAUGAUUUUGGGGAGAAUAAAUAAUGGAAAAAGAAUCCUCUUUUGCCUGAUAGGCCAACUCACCAUUUGUUCCUAAACGCUUAGCAACCUCCUGUAACCAGAAACAAGUAAGAUUAUGGAAAUUAUUAAAUCAAUUGUGUUAGAAUAUAUUAGAGAAACACUUGGAAAGCACAUGAAAUUGAGCUUAUUUAUUCUGGUUUUUGGUACUCAUUUUAAAAAUACAAUAAACCCAAAGCAAAAGAAUGAUUUAAUUUCCAUGAGGUGCACAAACAAACUCUCAAUUCUAUGCAUACAACAUGCGAAUUUUAUAAUUACCUUUUCAUUAUGGUUUCUUUCUUCCAUGUUUCGACACCCUUUAUGAAUGCCUUUGUUGGUGUGCCUGCAAACUAUCAUAAUGAGUCAAGGGCACUCUUGGAGUCUCAGAUAUAUAUAUAGAAGAAUUGAAAUUCAGCUAAUUACCUAAGAAGAGAACAAUUAGCAAAAUUGUAACCAUCCAGUCAGCAACUGCAACAUUAAAAACAACCCCGAUGCUAAUGCCCAUCAUGAGCAUUGGUUGGAAGAGCAGCGCCAAAUCAUAGCAAAUGAUAGGCAUAUCAAGUGUAGGAUGCCUUAGCUUAAGAUUAUAGUAAACAGUUGAGCCUACUGCACCCAUAACCAUGCAUGACCAACAAAUAGAAUUUAUGACUUCCUCAAUUAUAAGAGAGCAGUUUCAUAUAACCAUGUAAAUGAGAUUUGCAAAGAGAUAUCCCUUGUCUUCAGCUAGCUAUUUAUUAAUUAGAUAAAACAGUUCUUAAAGCUAAAUCAAGGACAAUUGUCUCAGAGAAGCAAUGGUUGCUAAGCUUCAUGUUCAAGGUUCAAAGAAUUGAGGUCCCUUAAAAGUCAUGAACUCAACUCACAAAGCUGCUGGCAUGUCAGUGUAGUAAAUCAAUUCUCUUUUUAUUCUAAAAAAAUCGGUUGAUACUAGAAAAUCUAUGACAAUGAUCUCAAACCCAGUGCUUGAAAUAUGCAAAAUCAAGUACUGAGUCAACUAAAACAGCAGGCUAGAUUGGUGGUAUUUUAAAAAUAUUUCUUUUUAUCAUUUCCUUUAUUUUUACCACUUCCUAACCCCUGUCCCAAUGAGGUUUCUGAAUUUGGUUAGAAUGAAUUAUAGAUCUUUAACAGAACUCCUACCACAUGUAACAAAACUGCCACCACAUGUAACAAAACUGCCACCACCACCAACACCAAAUGUUGCUCCAAAGAAUCCAAUUAUGCUACAAUCAUCAAUUUGCCAGCCAAAUUUCAUUUCCCUUAAAGUCAAAUUUGCAAUGACAACAUUUAAAUUUUCCAAAAUAGCUUUUGAGUUUAGAACACAAUUAUUUAUGAAAGUCAAUCACAAAAGCCAACAAACUAUUCUAUACAAUUAACAAAAACUAAAAGUUUAAAACUAGAAUUCAUAUUAAUCUAUGGCAGGAAAACAAGAGAAACAAUAAAAAGGUAAUAGGAAAAUUGAAACUUUAUAUGUCCAUAGGUUUGGUCCCAAGCAAAGAAAUAAUAAAAUCUAUUGAGUAUUGCUAAGGUCAUCAGGUUAAGCAUACUUGAGAUUUUUAAUUUUUCUCUCCAACACAACAGUAUACUGCAUAGCUCUAAUAUUUUUCCUUUUCUUUUCCUCAAUUUAGCAACCAAUCAGGGGAAUAAGAAAACAAUAUUGUCCCAUUCUAAAUAAUGGCGAAGUGUGUAACACCAAUAAUCCACCUAAUAUCAGCAAAACAAAUAUUUAGAUAACAUGGUCUUACCAUGUCACACAUUCAUAUAAAUUACAUAUUUUCAUGCCAAAUUUUAUUAAUUCUUCAAUCAUUGUUAUAAGAGUUUUGUUUAGAUAAACAAAGAACAUUCAAAUCUUCAAAAUAACAUGGUCUUACCAUGUCACACAUUCAUAGAAAUUACAUAUUUUCAUGCUAAAUUUUAUUAAUUCUUCGAUCACUGUUAUUAGACUUUUGUUUAGAUAAACAGACAACAUUAAAAUCUUCAAAAUAAAAGGCAAAAGGGCCAAUAAUAUCAGUGUUUUAGCACAAUAACUCCCUAGUUUCUCCGCUAUCAUUAGGAGAGGUCAAUAGCAGACUCGAAAAUUGAGAUUAUAAAAUUCAUAGCAAAGCAGAGAAAGUAAAGAUUCAAAAACCUUGCUUUAACCCCUGGGGUUUCUGUUGCUAGAGGAAAUAUAAGUGAGAUAUAAAUGUUGUCUACAAUGGCCUCCUAUUGCAAAGCUUUUGUCAAUCCUAUGAGGCUAAACUUGCUAGUCGUGUAAGCUGUGUAACCAUAAAUGCCCACCCACAAAAAAAUCAUGACUCCAAAUGAAAAACCAAUAGAUAGAGAGUUGUUUUGGAAUCCUAAUAACCAUUGAAAUUUAACAUCUAAGAGCAAAAAAUUAAUGUGCUUUGAAUGUCAAAUAAGUCAAUUUUGAGGCAUUCCAUUUUAAAUUUAGGAGGUAAUAUUCAUUUCUAGUGCUGAAAAAAUUCACAGAAUGACAAAACGAAAGUUCAGAGCAGAAGGCAAUACGUUGAACUUUUGAAAAAGUAUUUCUGAAAACACAUCACACUUAUUCAAGUACAUGGUACCUGACUGGCCUACGAUGAUAUAAUGUCGAUCGACGUUGGUCCACGCUUCUUUCCAAUGCCUCAUCCUCGACAAAGGAGCCUUAAUAAAAUGAAAUGUCCCCAUUAGAUUCACAUCAAUCGUGAACCUAACCUCCUUCAAUUCCUGUUUUUCCAACUCUUGCAACAUAAACACUCCUUGAUUGCAGCUCUCGCGGCACAAACCCCAGCAAAGCAUCUCAAAAUUUUCAUUCAUGUUUCUUACAAUUUCUUAACAACCAAACAAAGAGCACGAAACCCAAAUUUUAUCCCGUAGAUGAAUUAAUAAUACCAGACAAGAACAAACACAUAAAUGAAAGAAAACUAGUACAUGUAUACAGUUGAAAUUUUCUUCUACAAAAUCUAUUUGGUUAUUGAAAAAUCAAAACGGAAAAUCGAUCGAUGGAACAAUUAAGAAGGUAGCUAAGCCCCAGAAUAAGCUAAGAGAACGUGAGCACUUCAUAUCUCUCCCUCUUUUAUGCGUAUAUAUAUAGAGAGAGAGAAGAAAACAAAAUAGAAAAAAACCAUUAUGAUUAAAUGAAUACAAAAUUCAUAUUAAAUUCUUAUGGAAAAUAUAAUGUAUUUCUUAUGGAAAAUAUAUAUAUAGAGAGAGAGAAGAAUACAAAAUAGAAAAAAAAAAUCCUUUUUGCAAUAAAAAUAAAUUUCGUUGCAAAAAUCUUCUUUUUUUCCAUAAAAAUUUAUUUGUGCCAACGAAAAUUAUGGUAGCAAAAUGUGAAAUUUGUUAUGGUGUUGGAAAAAUUCUAAAAAAACUUUUAAAAUGUUGAAAAAUAACUUGUAAUGCUUCCUAGAGAAACACUUAAUAGGUGAUUUUUCCAAAAACCUUUUUAAAAAAAACACAUCCACUAAAUACAAUUUGAAUAGAAGCACCAUCAAAAGCACUCUUAGUGUUUGUAGAACACUAAAAAUGUAGUAAUUUAGUUUUACAAAACCAGGCUUCUUGGAUUCUAAAAUCCAUGUAGCCGAAGGAAAUCUUACUAAUAUCCUAAGUCUUUCUAGUGCUUAAAAUUUUAUAUCUAAAUUACUUAUUAUUAGUUAUUUCAAAAGUAUAAUAACUAUAAUGAUAUUAUUAAUGGAUUUAUAUUAAGGUUUCAUUUGCGUAGGUUUCUGCCUUUUGAUUUUAAAGUCAAAGUUACAAUUUUUAAAAGGUAAUAUUUGUAUUGUAAAAUUUUAUUAAACAUAAAAGAAUUUUUUGCACAAGUGAAAAUAGAGCUUUUAUAAGAAGCAUCAUAUUCCUAGUUUUACUCUACCAUGUUUUCCAUCUAUUCUGAAAUUGUUCUCAAGAUGUAUAAAUAAUAGCAUUGCUAUGGGAGAGACCCUAUGGCUAUGUGUGAUUAAAAUGUGCUUUACAAACAUUUAUAGACCUUUGUGGAGAUGAAUGGGGCUUAAGCUCUCCCACCUUCACCUUUUUCUUUCUCUUGUUCCUCUGGUAGCUGUCACAAUAUGCUCCCAUCUUUACCUAGUCCCUCAUAUCACAUAGGUUCCUGAAUUUGUUAGGAACUUCAUGUUCUGAUGGGAUAAAGAUGGGGUCACCCCUAUAUCAUGGAUCCAAGGCCAUCCUAUAAUAAUUGUAAAGGGAUAGUUUGUCUAUUACCCAAAAUAGAGUUAGGCAAGUGGUUGGUCUUGUUGUUAUUGGUAAGGUGAUUUUCCUAAUAGGGACGUACACCAUCUAAGCCUACUAGUGGACAAAAGGGAGGGCAUAGCAAGAAGAAAUGUGAGCUAAUUAGGAAUCAACAAAAUUGAUGAGAAUGAGAUAUUUAUCCAAGCAUCAGUGAAACAACUUCCUAUGAGAAAGAUUUGGAGACCAUGAAGAAUGAGUUUCACAUUUAUAAGAGUUCUUUGUCUUUUUAGAGAGAAAAAAUAGGGAGAAUUAUAAUUAGAUUAUCAACAAGUUAAUGAUAAAUAUAGUGUUGUCUUUUAUUUUGUUUUAACCUUCAUGAAGAAAACCAAUUGGUUUUUGAGAGAAAUAUUUUAAGUAAAAAUAUUUUACACUAAUAUUCUUUGAUAUCUUUUUAGAAUAUUGUUAUGGGGAAUAAAAUCAAGAUAAUGAAUGAGUCCUAAAACAUGAAAAUGCAUUAUAUAUAAGGAAGAAUAAGUUGAUAUGCCCACAAAUAUCUAAACAAAAGAUAAAAUAAGUAUAUGAAGAAUAUAUAUAAUCAUCAAAAUAAAGUAAGAAACUUAUUACACUCCAACGAUAAUCAUAGAAUGAGGAGUUGAGAGGAUAGAGUUACUGAUAUCCAAGCAUCCAUUUCUUCCACGUUUGAUAAUACUCCACAACAUGCUAAAAUAUGAGAUGAAGCGGUGUUGAAUUCCUAAAACACAAAGUAAACGAUAAUAUUUACCAAUUUGAAAAAAAAUCUUUUUAAAUAGUUGCACGAAAGGAAAUUUUCAUUAGCAUUCUUGUUUUAAGAACUAGACAAGUACUCUUUGGUUUAUGCUUAAAAUGGUACCUUAAAUAUUGUUAUGUAUUUGAAUAAAAUUAAAGAAAUUGCAUUCAACAUUAUAAGAGGGACGGUUUUGUAAGAAAAUGUAAAAUAAUACAAAAGGUCAAUGUUAUGGCUAAUUAGUAUAUUAAAAUAUCCAAGAUUUUCCACUUAGGAAUAAAGACAAUCACCUCGGAUCUAACAUUAGGUGAUUUUUUCAUUCAUAAAUUUUAGCUUAUCAAAAUAAUAUAGAAGGUUAAUAAUUAAUUAACUAAAAGAAGUAAUAUGAAAAAUUCUAGUAAAAACCUACUUUUCUUUUAUAAUCAUUACCAUUCAAGAAUAAGCUAGUAAUGUUUUUUAUAAACAAGAAAAAGGUGGAGAGAGAGAGAGAGAGAGAGAAAGAGUUGUACCAUUUAACUUUGAAGACUCCUCCAUAGUCGAGCCAUAUUUAUUGUUGUAGUCACAUAGAGCCAAUCUUUUAUUUUGUUCAAAAAUUGGAAAUAGGCAUAUCGCCAUGAAUUGUUGAGUAGUAGAGUUCCACACACUCCCCAAAAUCCAACUAUGAAUCCAAGAGCAAUGCUAACAUAAAACCACAUGUCAUUUCCAUCUUGUUGAAUGUCGUCUUCAUAGCUAUAAGCAUUGGGAGUUCCUUCUACUUUAUCUCCUGGGCACUUUUUCAAAAGAGGCGGUCCACAAAGUGUAGGAUUUCCCUCAUAAGAAGAAGUAUUGAAACUUUGAAGUUGAGUACCUCAUGGAAUCUUACCAGACAAGUUGUUGUAAGAGAGGUCUAAGGUACUCAAACGAUCUAUUUCUGAAAGGCCACUUGGAAUUUCACCAAUAAGUUGAUUUUGAGACAAAUCAAGAACGUCUAAUGAUUUCAAUUGACCAAUUGUUGUAGGGAUCAAUCCAGUCAAAUUGUUUCUUGAAAAGUUCAAUGAAACCAAUUCUAGAAGAUCUGUUACUUCUUUUGGAAUCUCCCCAGUUAUUUUGUUGCUUGAAAGAUCAAUACUCUUUACUAAUCCAAGAGUAUUCUUAUACUCAAAUUCUCUCCCUUUCCAUUUAACCAAUUCGCUAUCAACAUAGGACCAAGGUGCAUCACUCAGAAAUGAAUUAUGAAGUGAAUCAUAAUUAUAUGCAAUGGUCAAAUUCCCUUUCUUAGUCAUGGCAGUGAAAUUGCUAAGACAUCUUGGUAUACUACCCAAGAUAUUGUUACUAGAGAGGUCCAAUAUUUGAAUUUUUUUCAAUUGACAUAGCUCUAAACUUAUACUUCCACUAAAAUUAUUAGAUCGUAGGUUUAGAACCAUCAAAUUUGGAAGGUUUCCUCCUAUCCAUGGGGGUAUUUUUCCGGAUAACCCAUUUUUUGCCAAAUCAAUAAAGCUCAAACAUUUGCAUUUCUUUAAAGAUGAAGGCAAUUCUCCUAUCAAAUUGUUGUUGCGUAAAUGUAGUGUUUGAAUCGAUUGCAUGGAGCCAAAUGAUUUUGGAAUUUUCCCAUAAAAUUGAUUAUUUUCCAAAUUUAGAACUGUCAAGCUUUUCCAUUGUUUCUGACAAUGAGGCAGCACUCCUGAUAACAAGUUGUUUGAGAGGUCAAGAUACACCAGAUAUGACUUAGAAACUGUACACAAUAAGGAAAUGGACCCCGAAAACUUGUUAUUGGAGAGAUCCAACAAUGCCAGGUCAGAAGGAAGUUGUGGUAUUGAACCCUCCAAAUAAUUUGAGCUCAUAUCUAUGUAAAGGGGCUGAUCAAAUUUUGAUGUUAAAUUGGGUAAGUUCCCUAUGAUCUGAUUGUUGGAAAUAUUAAAGGUAUAAAUAGGGGAAGUUAAAUUCCAAAACCAGUUUGGGAUGACAUCUGAAAUGUUAGAAUUGGAGAUAUCAAGGUCUUUCAACUGCUUUUGAGUUCGAAGCCAACUAGGAAAAUGAGGUCCCAAUUGGCAGGAGGUUAAUGCUAGAGAAAAUAGCUGAAAAGGAGGAACCCACUCCAAGCUCAUGUUGAAAGUGAGAGAGUUGGAGGAUAAGUCUAAAGUGUGCAAGUCAGAUAGAUGAAAGAGAUGAGCCUCAGAGAUGACACCUUGCAAUGAAUUUGAACCAAUAUCCAACCAUUGAAGUUUGGUAAGGUGUCCAAUACUUGUAGGCAAUGUUCCAUUUAGCUGAUUAUAACCAAGAUAUAACACUCUCAAGGAUGAAAAUCCAAUGAGAUCAGGAACUGAUCCUGUGAAUUGGUUAUAUGAUAAAUACAAAAUCUCUAAUGUGUCAUUUGCACAAGCCAGCAAGUCUUGUGGAAGCUGUCCACUGAGAUUGUUGCUUUGCAAAGCUAACUUUUGUAAAUGGCAUAAAUUGCUCAAGGAUUUUGGAAUCUCACCUUCAAGUUUAUUGUCAUGGAGAUAGAGUUCUUCAAGAGAAGCCAUGUUCCCAACUGUAUCUGGAAUUGAACCCUGAAGUUGAUUGGAGGAGAGAUCAAAAUAUGUAAGUGAACUCAUGUUUCCAAAUGCGUCUGGAAUUGAACCCUGCAGCUGAUUCUGAGAAAUAUCAAGAUAUUCAAGGGAACUCAUGUUCCCAAAUGCCUCUGGAAUAGAACCAUUUAAAUCAGCAUUCAAAGAGAGAUCAAAAUGAAUAAGGGUGGUAGGAAAGUUGAAUAGCCAUGAGUAUAUUGAAGAAGUGAGAUCAUUCCAAGAGAGAUCAAGGAAAGCAAGAGGGGCAGAGAAAUUAACAGGGGAAAGAGACGGAGUGGUGAGGGGAGGGAGGCUACAGUGUCGUAAGUUUAAGUGAAUAAGAGAAGGGAGUUUAUUAAUUGCUUGUGACCAGUGGAUGGCUUUACUAAGGUUAACAGAAUUCAGGUCAAGGUGUCUUAAAGACGAAAGAUGAGAAAGCCACUCAAGAUUUCCAGAAUGCAAAUGAUAAUUACCACUGAGAUCAAGGGAAAGCAAGUUGGAAAGAUUUCCGAAUUGGCUGGGAAGACGUCCAGUGAAAUUGGCAUCAGAGAGAAUGAGGUAUUGGAUUUUGGGGAGAGAAGCAAGGAAUGGAGGUAUGGAACUCCCUUCAAAAUCAUUAAAGCUGAGAUCCAAAUGGGUCAAGAGCUCCAAUUCAAGCAGUGAAGGACUUAUCUCACCUCUCAGACUACCUUCCUGAAGAUAAAGCCCAACCACCUGACCAGUAUGGUUGCUACACUGGACUCCUUUCCAUUGGCAACAAUCUCUUGUGUCCCAAGAAGACAAAAUGCCAUAGUCAUCCACAAGGCCGUGUUUGAAGCGAAGCAGAGCUUCUCUCUCCCUUUCUAUGCACCCCACAGUGUUUCCAAGCUCAGCUUUGGCACAUACCACCACAAGCACAAGACAGCUAAAAAGGAGGCGUUCAAAGAAGCAUACAGCCAUGAUGGUCUGCAAGUAACACUGGGUUUUUUUUGUGGAUUCACACAGCACCAAGCACUUGUAUAUAUAUAUAUAUAUUAUCCAAAAAUAACAUGUGGUAUUAUUUUUCAAAAAAAUAUUUAUAAAUUGAAUAUUCCAAAAAUUGAAGUAUUCAUUUUUGAAGUUGUGGUAUUUUUAUUCUUCUUAUCUUUGGGAAACAGUUGCUGGGAUUGUUUUCCCAUGUGGCUUCCUCCACGCUGUUACCGACUUUUCCUUAGGGUAAGGGUCCCAUUAAUUUAUUGUUUUCCAAUAUAUUUUUGGAAAAAAUGAAUGGAUGACGGAGUUUUAACAUUAAGUCAACACAUAAAGCAAAUUUUCCAAUAGAUAAAAUUUUUAAAAAUAUGAAGUAUAGUUUUUGAUUAAAAGUGUAGGUGCCAUUUGAAUACUCUUUUUUUUUUCCUACUUUUAAAAACACAAAAUAAUAAUAAUUCCUAUUUAUGAAAAUUUUCAUUUUACCUGCAUAUUAGAAAGCAAAUUUUCCAAUAGAUAAAAUUUUAAAAAAUAUGAAGUAUAGUUUUUGAUUAAAAGUGUAGGUGCCAUUUGAGUACUCUUUUUUUUUUCCCUACUUUUAAAAACACAAAAUAAUAAUAAUUCCUAUUUAUGAAAAUUUUCAUUUUACCUGCAUAUUAGUGACCAAAAUAAUGAUGUUGAAAUUUUAAUGAAUUAACAUGAUUUCUUAAAUCGAAUACUUAUUAGUGGAAAUCAAUAAGUAAUUUCAAAUAUAAAAAUAAAUUUAAUCCAAAAGUUAGAUUAUUGGAGAAAAAAAUUAAUUUGGACUAAUAUUCUUCUAGAGGGAAAAUUACCUAUAAUUUUAAGGUAAUUUAUUUUUCUUAUUAAACUAUACUAAACCUUGUUAAGUGUUAAUGAAGAUAUACAAUGACAUUUUUUUAAUUAAAUUAUAAGAAAGUCAUUUAAAUUUUCAUUUAAACCAUUUUGUAGUUAAAUUAAAUAAUUUCAUAUUUAAACUUUUUCAUCCCAAUUCUUUUUUGUAAAGUGUUUUUAGUAACACUCUACAUUGUACAUACAAAUGUUUCAAGAAUUAUCAAAAUUAUGUUUUUAAAAUUAUUUUCGAAAAUUUUCAAAAUAGAUUCAAUGGAAAUUUUUUUUAUCAAAAGGUCCCACCAUAUGGAAUUGUUCUUCUUAUAAAGACUUUGUGCUUGUGGAAUUUUUUGUUCAUUGCAUUCAUGUUUCAUCUAUGCCAAUCAAACCCACUUUUAAAUGUGAAUAUUGAAAAUAGAAGCUCAAUUCAAAUACGACAGGUAAAAUCAUUAAAUUAUUGGAUGAGUUAUUGUAUGUCAAAGUAAAUACAUUGGUCCAAAUGUAUUAAUGGAAAGAAAGAAGACCCCAAGUCUUUGUCGUGGGAUAGAAGAAUCUACGAAACAAAAAUAAUUCUAUGGCUAUUUUUUUUUCUUAUAGUCUUGAAAGAAAGAAAAUAAUAAAGUGACUUUCAAAUAUAAUGAAUCUUAAAACUUUUGGGUCCACUCAAUAGGUAAGGUUCAAAUUCCAACUUGUAGUGCAGGUCAUGUUGUAUCCUUUAGAAUUAAAUUUGUCUUUAUAUUAUUUUAAGGCCAUAUUAGUAUAGUCUUUUAAUCUUAAGGAAUACCCUUCCUAUUUUCUAUAUUUAAAAACGAACAUGAUAAUAAUUCCUAUUUACGAAAAGUUUUGUUUUACCUUCAUAUUAUAGUAACUUUACAAUAAAAAAUAAAAAUAAAAAUUGUAAUAUGUUUCGUAAAUAAUGAUUUCAAAAUUAAUAUAUAGUGACCAAAUGAAAUCUAAGUAUUUGGUAAACUAAACUGUUAGAUUGUUGUGCAUAUAUAUUGACCAAAAUACCAAUGUUAAAAUUUUAAGGAAUUAACAUUAUUUCUUAAAUUGAUUACUUACAAAUAUAAAAAGUUAAUUUAAUCCAAAAAUUUAUUCAUAGGAGAAAAAAAUAUAAUUUAAGGUAAUUAUAUUAUUCUAGGGGAAAAUUAGCUGUAAUGUUAAACUAAUGUAUUUUGUUAUUAGACUAUAUUGCACCUUGUUAAGUGAUUAAUAAAGAUAUACAACAACUUGUUUUUUUUUUAAGGUCAAAAGAUCCUACCAUGUGGAAUUUUUCUUCCCAUGAAAACUUUGUGUUUGUUGAAAUUUUUGUCCCUUGCACCCAUGUCCCAUCUAUAUUAACCAAAACCACUUUCAAAUAUAAAGAUUAAAAGUAGAAGCUAAAUUCAAAUGUGGUAGACAAAAUCAUUAAAUUAUGAGAUGAGUUGUUAUAUGUCAAAGUAAAAUACACGGUGAAAAUGUAUUAGUGGAAAGAGAUUGCAAGUCUUGGUUCAUAAGGUUGACAAUUGCACCAACGGUGGGAAAAAGAAUUUAUAAAACAAAAAUUCUUUUUAUGUAUAAUCAUUGACAAGGCCAUGUUUCAAGAGAAGGAAAGUGUGUGUCUCUCUCUAUGCACCCACUAACUUUCCCCAUAAUGACCAACUUUCCCACGGUGGUUCCAAGCCUAACUUUGGCACAUGUCACCAAAACUACAAGAAAACUAACAAGGAAGCGGAGGUGUUCAAAGGACCAUCAAGCCAUGGUCCACAAGCAACACAAGACCAACUUUGUAACUUGGGGAUUAUUAUUUUACUUGUACUUUCUCCUUUUUAUUUAUUCUUGUCCCUAAGGUAAUUGAGAGAAUUAAAGUUAGAUAUUAACAAGGGUAGAAUGAUAUCUAUGUUGUAAGCAGUGACGUCAAAGUGUAAUGUAGAAAACAUGGUAUCCAAUUGGUUGCCCAUUUCUUGGCUUUUCAAUGUUACAAUGAAAGGUGUACGCUAAGACUAUGUUUAUUAUAACGAAAUCAUAGUCCAUGAUUGUUAGAGCAUUUAGAGUAAAUAAAGGUUAUGAUUGGUAUAAAGAAAUCAAAUCCCAUGAUUGUUAGAGCCUUCAAAGUAAAUGAUUUAGCAUAAAGAAAAAUUUAGCUUGAGAAAUCAAAUACACUAAGGCUAUGUUUAGUAUCAAGGAAUGAGAAGGAAAUGAACAUCUCAUUCAUUUUCUCAAUAAUUCACAUGUUGCGGAUAACUCAAUGACAAUGAGAAUUGAAUAAAAAAUUAUUCUAGUAGGAAUGAAAUCUCAUUCAUAAGUGAGAUUUCAAUUGAUCUCUAAUAGAAAGUAUUUUGAUCAUUCAUUUCCAUAAGGUUUAUAUGAUUUUUUAUGAAUAAGUUUUAUAUUUAUCAAGUAAAUAUUAUUUUUCUUAGUUUUAUUAUUUAGUGAAAAAAAAAACUCUCAAAAGAUAUUCAUGGAAAUGAAAUAAAACAUUAUUUUAAACCAUAUGUAAGGUUAGUAUUGUCAAUUUAUUUCUUUUUCUAUCCUAAUUCUCAUUGUUUUCAAACAUUGAAAUAGAAACAAAUAAUAAUUUUAACCUUACAUUUAUAGCUUGCAUUCCUAUUUUAAAACGAAACUUGAUAAUAAUUCCUACUUAUGAAAAUUUUUGUAGGGUGUUCUGAGUAGCACUUGAAAAGAUAAAGAAUAAUUUUGAAUUCUUUUUUACAUUGUAUGUAGUUUUUAACAAUUCUUGAAAUUACGUUUUGAGGACUAUUUUAAAACACAUCUCAAAUAGAUUCAUUGGAUUUUUUUUUUAUAAUCAAAAGGCCCCACCACAAGGAAUUUUUCUUCACAUGAGGACUUUGUGCUUGUGGAAAUUUAUGUCCAUUGCACUUAUGUCCCCUCUAUACUAAAACCACUUUCAAAUGUGUGGAAAAUAGAAGCCCACUUCAUAUGUGGUAGGCAAAAUCAUAAAUUACGAUAUGUCAAAGUAAACGAAAGUGAAGAUGUUUUAGUGCAAAGAGAGAAGACUACAAGUCUUGAUCUACUAGGGUCAACAAUUGUACCAAUUGAAAAAUGAAAGAAAUUAUAAAACAAAAAUAACUCCACGAUUGUUUAGUCUGAAAAGAAAGAAGAUUGUAAAACAAGCUUUUAAUAUGAUGAAUUCAUUGAACCUUGAAAUUUUUUACCCACUCAAUAGGCAAGGUUCAAACCCAACCAAUAAUAUAAGUCUCGUUGUAGUACCCUAUACAAUUAAAUUCAUCUUUAUCUUUUCUUAGUUGUGUUUGGUUGAUAAUUCGGGUUGGAUAUACAAAUCUUGCAAGUGUAGGAUUUUAUUUUCCUUAAAAAGUGGAUUGGUAGAGUGUCGUGAGUCUCACAAAAGUAAAAAAAGAAAACGCCCCAUGGAAGGACUUUGAACACAACCUAGUGUGUUUGUCUUCAUCAAAUUAACCCUUUUUCCACUUUUAAUCUUCCAUUGGGUCAUUAGUUUCCACAUGCUUUGCUUUUUCAGUCUCAGUUGAAUUUGAUGGGUGGAAAUAUGAAUCACGUACAUUUUUUCUCUUGAUAUGAUUCAUUCAUUGAAAGGGAAAAUAAUGACGUUAUAUUCAAAGAUCAUGAUACUGGAUCAUUUUUUUUUCCUUAAAAAAUAACAUGUUUUCAUUAUUUAUUAGUUAAUUAAGAAAUAAAAGUUAGAUUUUAUUGUACAAUUAAAUAUUACUUUUAUAAUAAAUUGAAUAUGUCAUAAAGAAUGUAUUAUUCUCUCAAUUUUAAAUUUAGAUCAUUUAAAAAAUUCCUUUUCAUAUUGAUUAUUUUUUUAAAAAAAUUAAUCCUUUAUAUUUCCAUAUUUAACGUUUUUUCACUUAAGAUAAGCACUUUAUGAAUGAUGAAUAUAUUUAAGUACUCGUUGAAUGACCAUACAACUACGAUGGUCUACAAGUAACUCAAGACCAGCUUUGCUAGUUUUUCUAUGGAUUCACACAGCACUAAGCACUCAUAUAUAUAUAUAUAUAUAUAUAUAUUUGAGGUACAGAUGAAUUAAUUAGAAGACAAUGUAGCAGCACCAACAGACAGCAGAAUUGACACCAAGCACUCAUUUAUUUAGACUUCUUUACACUGGCAGAUUCCUUCCUUCAACUUGCUGCUUUACUGUAAAGAUUUCUCAUUUUGUUUUAUACAUGCAUUGGGGACUGUCCUUUUUUACCUGCAUAUCUUGAGUAGCAUUUGAACAAAAAUAUCAUUAGAGUUGCUUAUUAAAUAUGCAUAUGAUUUGGUGGAUUGCUAUGACAUGGAUUCCAUAUGCUGAGGAUACAGAAAUGAUUGGUGGCCAACUCUCAAGUAAAAAUAAAAAAUAAUUUUAUUUAUAACUGAGAUUUGAAAGUACUUUGAUUCUUUUGGCACAGGAAAUGAUUUAAAAUAUGUUAAAAUUAUAUUUAACAUAUGAGGUUUAGUUUUUGGAUUAAAAGUGUAGGUGUCAUUUGAAUACUCUUUUUCUUUUCUUUUUUAAAAAACACAGAGUAAUAAUAAUUCCUAUUUAUGAAAAUUUCUAUUUUACCUUUGUAUUAGUGACCAAAAUAAUAAUCUUAAAAUUCUAAUGAAUUAACAUCAUUUCUUAAAUCGAUUGUUUAUUAUUGAAAAUCAACAAGUAAUUUCAAAUAUAAAAAAAUUAAUUUAAUUCAAAAGUUAGAUUAUUGGAGCAAAAAAAUAAUUUAUGUUAAUAUUCUUCUAGAGGGAAAAUUACCUGUAAUUUUAAAGUACUAUAUUUUCUUGUUAAACUAUACUAAACCUUGUCAAGUGUUAAAUUAUAUGAAAGGCAUCUUUAAAUUUUUCAUUCUAAAGAGGAAAGUUUCAUUUAAAUCAUUUUGUAGUUAAAUUAAAUAAUAUAAUAUUUAAAUUUUUUCAUCCCAAUUCAUUUUUAUAGUGUUUUUAGUAACAUUCUACAUUAUAUGUAUAAUUGUUUUCAACAAUUCUCAAAAUUAUGUUGUGAAAAAUAUUUUUGAAAAUCUUUCAAAUAGAUUCAAUGGAUUUUUUUUUUUUUAUCAAAAUGUCACACCAUAUGGAAUUCUUCUUCUCAUUAGGACUUUGUGCUCGUGGAAUAUUUUGUUCAUUGCACUCAUGUUUCAUCCAUAUCAACCAAAACCACUUUCAAAUAUGAAACUUGAAAGUAGAAGUUUAUCAAUUCACAAAUGAUAAGUUAAAAUCAUUAAAUUAUUGAAUGAUUUGUAGACUAGGAGUCUUGGUCAUGGGGGGUCAACAAUUGCAUCAACUAUGAAAUAGAAGAAUUUAUAAAACAAAAAUAAUUACAUGGUUGUUUUUUUUUUAAAUAAAGAAGAUAAUAAAACCAACUUCUCAUACAAUGAACCUCAAAACUUUUGGGUCCACUUAAUCGGUAAGGUUCAAAUCCAAUUUGUAGUAUAGGUCAUGUUCUAGUACCCAUUACAAUUAAAUUCAUAUUUAUAUUUUUUUAAGGCUGUGUUUGGUUGAUAAUUGGAGUUGGAUAUAUAUAUAAGUCUAGGAUUUUGAGAUUAAAAAAGAAAAUAAAAUCCAAUGAUAGAAAUGGAUUGUUUUAUAAGAAGUGAAUCUUUUAAGGAUAACUUUCUAAUUCCAUUUUUUUUAAUUGCUUGUGUGAUUGCUUUGGUUGGAAGGAGGAAAAUUUCAAUUUGAAUGGAUGUAUCAGUAGUUAAAUUUUAGGAUAUAUUGGUAGAUAGAGAUUUUGACAAAAAUAAAUGGAUUCAUUGAUUUUUUUUUUUUUUAAUGAAAAGGCCCCACCAUAAGGAAUUCUUCUUCAUAUGAGGACUUUGUGCUUGUGGAAAUUUUUGUCCAUUGCAUUCAUAUCCCAUCUAUACUGAAGCCACCUUCAAAUGUGUGGAGAUUGGAAAUAGAAGCCCAAUUCAAAUGUGGUAGGCAAAAUCAUUAAAUUAUAGGAUGUCAAAGUAAACAAAAGUGAAGAUGUAAUAAUGGAAAGAGAGAAGACUACAAGUCUUGGUCUACAGGGGUCAACAAUUGUACCAAUGAGAAAAUGGAAGAAAUUAUAAAACAAGAAUAACUCCACAUUGUUUUUUCUUAGUCUUGAAAGAAAGAAGAUUGUAAAGUGAGCUUCUAAUAUGAUGUAUUCAUUGAACCUUAAAAUUUUUUAUCCACUCAAUAGGCAAGGUUCAAACCUAACUGGUAAUAUGGAUAUCGUUGAGUACUCUUUACAAUUAAAUUCAUUUUUAUAUUUUUUUCAAACCAUAUUUGAUUGAUAAUUCAAGUUGGAUAUACAUAUCAAGUGUAGGAUUUUAUUUUCCUUAAAAAGUGGACUAUGGUGGGCCUCACGAAAGUAAAAAAGAAACGCUCCAUGGAAGGACUUUGAACACAGCCUGGUGUGCUUGUCUUCAUCAAAUUAAUCCUUUUACCACUUUUAAUCUUUCGAUCAUUAGUUUCAACAUGCUUUGCUUUUCGGUCUUGGUCAAAUUUGAUGGGUGGAAAUAUGAAUCAUGUACAUUUUUUUCUCCUGAUAUGUUUCAUUCAUUGAAAGGAAAAGUAAUGACAUUAUAUUCAAAGAUCAUGACACUGCAUCAUUUUUCUUUCCUUGAAAAACAUGUUUUCAUUAUUUAUUAGUUAAUUAAGAAAUAAAAGUUAAAUUUUAUUACACAACUAAAUAUUACUUUUAUAAUAAGUUGAAUAUAUCAUAAAAAGAAUGUAUUUUCUCUCAAUUUUAAAUUUAGAUCAUUUAAAAAAAUCCUUUUCAUAUUGAUAAUUUAAAAAAAAAAAUUAAUCAUUUAUAUUUCCAUUUUUAAUGUUUUUUUUUCUCUUAAGAAAAGCAUUAGAAAUUAAUUGAUGAAUAAAAAUCAAAUUUUAAAAUAGAAAAUGAACAUUUUGUUUUAUUUUGAAAAAAAAAAUGAAGAUUCAUAAUAUAUUGUUGAAAUAUAUUGAAUACUAAUCUAAAUAGCAUAUAUUGAAGGUGCACUCAUGUUGUAAUUCCCGGGUUUUAAGGACACGUCAGAUUCUCGGAGCAUGAAGUCUUUCUUUCAUAAAAUUGUGGGUCAAAUACUCUUUCUUUUUUAUGCUUUUAAAAACAUAAAAUAAUAAUAAUUCCCAUUUAUGAAAAAUUUCGUUUUACCUUUAUAUUAGUGACCAAAAUAAUGAUGUUCUUAAAUCAAAUACUUAUUAUUCAAAAUCAAUAAGUAAUUUCAAAUAUAAAAAUAAAUUUAAUCCAAAAGUUAGAUUAUUGGAGAAAAAAAUAAUUUAGGUUAAUAUCCUUGUAGACAGAAAAUUACCUAUAACUUUAAGGUACUAUAUUUUCUUAUUAAACUAUACUAAACCUUGUUAAGUGUUAAUGAAGAUAUACAAUGAUUUUUUUUCUAUCAUUUUUUAAUUAAAUUAUAAGAAAGUCAUUUAAAAUUUUCAAUCAUUUUGUAGUUAAAUUAAAUAAUAUCAUAUUUAAACUUUUUCAUUUUUUUUUGUAGAGCGUUUUUAGUAACAUUCUACAUUGUAUAUACAAAUGUUUUCAACAAUUAUCAAAAUUAUGUUUUUAAAAUUAUUUUUGAAAAUCUUCAAAAUAGAUUCAAUGGAUUUUUUUUAUAUGUAUAUAUAUAAAAAUGUCCCACCAUGUGGAAUUCUUCUUCUCAUGAAGACUUUGUGCUUGGGGAAUUUUUUGUUCAUUGUAUUUAUGUCUCAUCUUUACCAAUCAAAUUCACUUUCAAAUGUGAAACUUGAAAAUAAAAACUCAAUUCGAAUAUGGUAGGUAAAAUCAUUAAAUUAUUGGAUGAGUUUUUGUACAUCAAAGUAAAUGCAUUGGUCAAAAUGUAUUAAUGGAAAGAGAAAAGACCUCAAGUCUUUGUUUGUGGGAUAGAAAAAUCUAUAAAACAAAAAUAAUUCUAUGGUUGUUUUUUUCUUAUAGUCUUGAAAGAAAGAAAAUAAUAAAGCGACUUUCAGAUAUGAUGAAUCUUAAAAUUUUUGGGUCCGCUCAAUAGGCAUGGUUCAAAUCCCAAUUUGUAGUGUAGGAAAUGUAUUGGGUUCACUCAAUAGAUAAGGUUCAAACCCCAACUUAUAGUGUAGAUAAUGUUUUGGGUCCACUCGGCAAGGUUCAAACCCCAACUAGUAGUGUAGGUCAUGUUGUAUCCUUUAGAAUUAAAUUUAUCUUUAUAUUUUUUUAAGGCCAUGUUAGGUUGAUAAUUCUAGUCAGACAUACAUAUUCUAGAUAUUUAGGAUUUUAUUUUCAUUGAGAUAUAAAAUUCUACAUAUUCUAGAUAUUUAGGAUUUUAUUUUCAUUGGGAUAUAAAAUUUAGGAUAUUAUAUCUAAUGGGAUAUAUUAUAUUAUGUUCAAGUUUGGUUUGUGUAAAGAAUAAAAAAUGGAAUAAAAAUUAUAUUAUACUGUAAUGUUUGAUAUUUGUUUAAAAUGAAAAUUGUGUUAUAUCUUAAUAUUUUUUAUUAGAAAUUUAUGAAAUUUCAUUCAUAUAUAGUAUUACUUGGAAUUUUUUUGUAUAAUUUAUCAUUUAGUAAUAUUCAUGAUUAAAAGAUUUAAAAUAUAUAAAUAAAAAAUAUUGUAUUAUAUUUUUUUAAAUAUAUACAAAUUAUAUAUAUAUAUAUAUAUAUAUAUAUAUAUGAACUAUAUUAAAUAAUAUUGUAGACCCCCAUUUUGGGGCACUUUCUUUCUCACCUUUCAUGCAGGUUAUUUGGCCAGGUGGCACAAUCCCGGGAGACCACGUGGCAUCUUUGGGGAGGCUGAUGGAGAAUCAGGUUAGUGCUUUGAGGAGCUAUCAGAAUUCGACACCUGUAAAGGGAAUUUGAGAAAGCUGCAGACGGUUGAGGAGGGGAGCGUUUCUGUUAUAGGGGGGCUUUCCAUGCUGGGCUGAGGGAUAUAUUUUUGAAGGGGUUUUUUUCAUGAGAGCUGCAGGAGAGAGGAGUGCCUUUUUUCUGUUGCAGGAGGAGCGUAUCUGCAGGAGGGGGGUGCUUUUUCAGAGGGGGCGAUUCUGCUGAGGAGGGGGGAGAUAUUUUUUUGGAGGAUGGUAUCAUUUUCAGGAGGGCUGGCUGGUAGGAAUGGAGGGAGACAUUAGAGCUUUAAGGGAGGAGAGUUUAGCUUGAGAGAAGAAGGAACUCAGGCAUUUGGAAGACGAGUCUAGGGUAACAAGGAAGAAAAGGAAAUCUGAGAGGGCAGUUCCAGGUACGUUUGAUGUAGUUUUUUUUAUCAUUUCCACUCAUGACUCUGUUUUCUUUGAUCUUCUAUCUUUUUUCUAUGGUUAUCUCUGAUUUUCUGGGCAUUGGGUGAUUGUUCGAGCAUGUGAUGACGUAUUACUUUUCUCUUACAUUGUUUAUCUGAAUAUGGCUCACUCCUAUGAUGGAAUUUUGUUGAUGCUUUCAACUUGAUAUUUGUUAUGACUUGUCUUGUUGCACCACUGGUUGGGCAACCCUUGAUUUCAACAUGAAAGGGGAUCCCACUAUGGCUCUGCUCACCUUAUCUAUUGGGUUUUAAGUAAGUUGUGUUUUGUCUUGCUCUCUCACCUCUAUUUCCGGUACCUCAACCCAUAUCUCUGCUCUCUGGUUCAUAUUUUUGGAUCUGCUCUGGAUGAUCGUUUGCCUGUUCUGACCUGUGCUUGAGAAUGAGAGGGCUGCGCGUUAGCUUACUACCCCAAAUCUGUGACCUUAGUGGACAAGACAUAUGCCUGGUUUACAUCAGCCGCUACUCUAGCUGUUGGGUUUGCCAUUGAUACAGAAAGCUAUAUUCUCCUUUGGUGGCAGCGAGAGUAAAAAGGGGUGGGGCUCCAUUAGGACAUGCCAUGUGUGGAUGUUCUCACAAGUUUAUAUUAUGCUCCUCACAAUUUCCAGGUGUUGCUUUAAGCCUGUUUUAUUCCUUGUCAUAAUAGCAAGUGAAAGAGAUCAUAAUGAAGGAGAUUUGACCAUGGAAUAAUCCAAAGAACCAGAAUUCAAGAGUUAGAGAUGCCAUGAGAGGUAUUAAUGGUUUACGGAACUCAAAAGCUCUUCUGUAACCUCUCAUCCUCUCACUCAGAGUCUCUGUUCCUCGGGUCUAAGCCAUGACCAGCGAGAGAGAGAGAUACGCAGACAAUAGAGGUGUGGCCAUUCUUCUCUACUGCAUCGACUAAUGAAGGGUCCUCAGGCACUGGCGAGGCAGAGAUUAAAGCCGCCAUAGGACUAUCUGGGCAUGGUUUCAACUCUGUUUGUAUUAUAAGGAUUUUCCUAACUCGGUCACACAUGGUUAAAGCUCAGGAUGGUAUGAAGGCUGCAUUGGGAUGCAUGACUGAAGAUGACUGUGGAUAGUACACGCAUGAUACUGUCAAGGGAAGGGACUGGUUAGGUGUCCAGGAUGCUAUUCAGUAAGUGUGUGGGGAGGCACCAGAAGCAGUGAUAAGGCUUGAGAACUACACCUCCAGUUUGGGUGCAUGGAAGCCUUAUCCACCGCCACCGAUGUAUUCCAGACCUGGGAAGUCGUCACAUGACUUGCUUAGUGACAGCCAAAGCAAUUCCAUCUCAAGAGACACAGUUGGCCCUGAGGAUGCGUUUAAGGGGUUUCCAUCUAAUUCGAGUCCAUCCUGAAGUCUUCCAUCCGCUGACCUGGUGCCUCCAUCAGUCCCGGAUGGUGAUAUUCAUGAGCUUCCUAGGCUCCCCUUCUAGUUUGGCCUUGAAACCUUCAAGACCUUCAAGUGGGAUAGGUCAUCCUGCCUCCUUUUGGUUGCCAGUGAUCCCAACCUCUUUUUUAUAUACUGUAAAUAAAUUGGUGGUAUCAGGUACGACAUUUCGGUUGCCAUUACCUCUGCAAGUUGUUCCUCUCAGUUUCUCCACCCCCUCAAGUGAUCAGAAAAUGAAGACAUCCAGCAUACGCCAACUUUUUCUGUCAAUGAUAAUAGUCAACUUGAAAAUGCCGAAUGAUUUUAAGUAACUCCAUGGGAUAUAAAUACAUUGUUCCAGACAUGAAUAGGUUUGUUGAUGACAUGGUUGCUUUCUCUUCAUCCUACAGUACAAAUGGUUUGGCUUCGCCUAUUGUCGUUUCUUUUUGGCUCUCCGUUUGAUACAUUGGAGGCAGACCACCAACCUUUUGGUUAUGUCAUACCAAGAAACGAAGGACCUGGUAAGGUGCCGCAUUCUUCUUCAGCAUCGGCAGAUAUAUUGUCAGAGAAGAAAGUUUCUGGAUCUUUGGCAAAUUUACCUGUUAAUGUUGAAGGGAAAUCAGGAGAUCCACUUCUUUACUCCCUCUUGCCACCAAUUAUCAUUCCCAAUAUUAGCUAUAGUUUGAGAUGGCAAUGGUACCCCAUCACCCUCUUCAAUGAGCUCCACCAUCUUAAUUCAGAGGAAAGCAUGCUAGCGAUCUUGAAGGAGAAGAGGAAGGAAUUAUUGGUGCUGCGGGGACUGCUUGUCUUGGAGAUAAUUCUGUAGAGUGCUGUCAAUGGCGAUCUACACUGCGCUGUUAGUGGCUUUCUCAUCACUAUUUCUGUAACAGUUGGAGUACAAAAGAUGUGGAGAAUGCUAGUAACCAUCAUGAAGUUUUCGAUACAUAUGGCUUUGAAGAAGACUCACCUUCGGGCUAUGCACAGAUGCAGUUGAUGAGCUGUUGGAAUGCAACUCUUGCUUUGCCAAUUGUACUAAUUCGCUUGAAACAAAGUGGCGAGCGAGAGGACCACCCCGUUUUAUCAGCUGUCGCUGCUGCUACUGCUGCCCGAAGCAUUCUGCGUCCUCAAAGUUCUUCUUCUGGUGGUGAUUCUAAAGGAAAAAGUAAACCUGCUGAUAGAAGUUUAAGGAGUCGGAAUCUGAAGCAUGACGUUAUAGAAGCAGUUAAUGAAUUUAUUCAAGAUAUCACCACUUGCCAUGACCAGAUUUUUGAACAAGCAGUGGAGUAUAUUCAUCAAAAUGAGAGGGCACUCCAAAUGGUACCUCAGAAAAGGUCAAAAGUGAUUCAAAGCAAAGGCUUGAAAAUGAUAUAACUGUUGGGUUAUCUGGACGUCCUCCAUGGUUUUGUAGUCUUUGCAAUACAAAGGCUACUGGUAAGCUAGCACUACUUCAACAUGCAACAGAAGGGGAGCCCUCCAUACGUGCUGCUUCUGAGUCCAAGAAUAAUGAAAAGAUAGAAGCAGAAGAAGCUAAAAUUUCAGAGGGUAGUCAAGCUGAAUUUGAUGAGGCAAUUGACAUCACGUUAUGAGAUGAUGAAGCUCCAGAUUUGAACCAAUUAGAAGAGCACUCAACAGAAGCAGAAACCGAAGAUUUAGCCAUGGCUGAAUUGCAGAAAGAGGAAGUUUCAGAGACCGAGAAGCCCACGUCCUGAGAUUUUGGUUCCCCACUUAGUGUGGCAGGAUGAUACUCUCUUGGUCAUUGGUUGGGGAACACCUGUGAAGAUUGCUUCAAGAAGAGCAAACCAGUCCAAUGGAACCAGUGGGACUCACAGGAAUGUUUCCAAGUCCAGCAUGAACCAGGUGGAUAUUGUGGCAUCAUUUCAAACCAACUAUUUCACUUCAGAAGUUGCUCCUUUUGGUGAUUCUUUGGUUGUUCUAGCCUAUAUUCUUGGAGAAGAAGAUGGAGAGAAAGAAUUUAGCAGCACCAUUCCAUCACGCCAGGGAAAUGCGCAAAGACCUGAAGUACACAUAGUCAUAUGGAAUAAUGAUGAGCUUGCGACAGAUGCCUUGCCUGUACAUGGCUUUGAGCAUUACAAGGCAAAGGACUAUUCCCUUGCUUAUGCUCUUUUCACGGGUAGUAACUAUGCUGGUGGUCAGUGGAAAAGUUGGGGAGUCGAAAGAAUACUCAGUGGAAAAGCUGGAGAGUUGAAAGAAUACUCAGUGGACUUACUGCAUGCAGAAGGUGUUAAAUUUGAAGGUCAUGGGCAAAUCCAAGAAGCUUUGGCUGCUUAUAUCAAUGCCCUUUUACUAGAUCCGGGUUAUGUGCCUUGCAAGAUCUUGAUUGGUGCUCUGUUGUUGAAGAUGGGCUCGAAGGCAUUUCCUGCUGCGAGAAACCUACUUUCAGAUGCAUUGAGGAUGGAGCCUACCAACCAAAUGGCUUGGUACUACCUGGGAAUGGCUCACAAAGAUGAUGGACGAAUAGCUGAUGCUACAGACUGCUUCCAAGCAGUCUCCAAUCUUGAAGAAUCCAAUCCCCUUAUUCCACCCCGGUCCCAUGCAUGCACGUAUCUAGUUGCAUGACCACUUUUGGGUCACGUGACAUCUCCCUUUUUAUCCUCUUCGACUUUGACAAUAAUUUUUCAGACCUCAUUUUUUUAAAUAAUUUUCCAGAUCCUCAUUUUUUAGAAAUAAUCCCAACUCCAAAAUUUUCAUUCUUAGAGUUUUAGGUAUCAAAAUCCCAUUUUCAAUCAAAUUUAGCGCCAUUUUCUUUCCGGCAAGCCACUUUCGAAUUUUCUUUAACUUUUUAAAAAUGUUUUAAAAUAAGUAUGAAUUUAUUCCCGUAAUUCCGAAUGAUGGAAAUUCAUGGGAUUAAUUUAUACAAAAAUAAACGGGCUUUGGUGGGGGCCCCACAUCAAAUAAAUUUUCAUCAAAAUAAAAGUGAAUUUGAAAUAAUAUCAUGCAUGAUAUUGGUGCUUCUUUAUCUGGUUGGAUGAUAUGCGUGAUAUACUUUAUGUUCAUUACUAUGCAUAAACCCCAUUUUGUGAUAGUGCAUUGCCGUUUGCUGAUCAGGUACGCAUCCACUUCCACUUUGGUUAUUCUCUAUGCAUAUUUUGAUACUCAUAUAUGCAUGAUCGAUUUGAGUAUUCAUCGAAUUUCUCAUUGAUUGUCAUAUUAACUUCAUUUUAUUAGUAGAGACCCGACUUUAGGGACUUAGAGGGGUGCUACGGUCUCUACCGUACCUUCCCGAUAAGUAACCUGACCCCCGAACCCGAUCUGAUUUUUCGCAGACCACCUUUUCUAAAAUAAGAAGUCACACUUAGGGUUUUUCUUUCUUAUUUUGUUUACCCUUUAAAAAUAAAACAAAAAUAAGUGGCGACUCCAAGUCAUUUUCAAAUAAUCAAUAAAUCAUUUUUCAAAUAAAAAUCGAGCUCGUCAUCGAGUGGAAAACACAUGAGCUGAAAUGCGGGGUCCACAAAUACAUAUAUAUUAAAAAAUAUUUUAGGUUGUAUUUAUAGAUGUUUUUUAAUUAUUUAAUAUAAGCUUGAAAAUGGAAGCUCAAUUCAAGAGUGGUAAGUAAAAUCAUCAAAUUAUUAAAUGAAGUGUAGACUAUAAAUUUUGGUCUGUGAGGGUCAACAAUUGCACCAACUAUGGAAUAACAGGAUUUAUAAAUAAAAAAUAAUUCCUAUAUGAUAAAGCCAACUUCUCAUAUGAUGAACUUCAAAACUUUUGAGUCCACUCAAUAAAUCCUAAAGUACCCUUUACAAUUAAAUUUAUCUUUAUAUUUUUUUAAGAUCAUAUUUGAUUGGUAAUUUAGGUUGGAUAUACACAUUCUAUAAGUCUAGGAUUUUAUUAUCAUUAGGAUUUAUGUCUCAUAUUUAGUAUUAUUUGAAAAAAAAAAAUUCAAACAAUUUAAUAUUAUUUAGUAAGUAAUUUUUUUCUUUGUUAAGAAUAUUCAUGAAUAUAGGAUCUAAAGUGUAUAAAUAAGAAAUAUUUUAUAUAUAUUAAAAUUAUAUUAAAUAAUACAUUUAUAUUUAAAAUUUAUUUUACGUUGUAUUUGCAGCUUUUUUUUAAUUAUUUUCUUCUUUUAUUGAACUACAAUUUUAAUUUUUUUAUCAUUUUAUUUUAUAAAUAAUAUAAAAAAUUAAAAAAAAGAAAAAAGAAAAAGAAAAUAGAUGAGAAGGCCAAAUUUAUUAUCCAUGAGAUACGUAUAUUUCACAUCUCAACUUCAAGUCAUUAUAUCUCAUGUAAAAGGAUAUAAAAAAUAUAAGGUGGAAAAUGUAUCCUAUCCCAUGUUUGGCUUUGAGCUCAAACGUACUCGAAGGCGCUAAAAAAUCUCUAAUUCUAACAUUUCAAAUGUCAUCCCGGAGUGGUUUUGGAAUUUAACUUCUUAUAUGAGUAGCUUUAAUAUUUCCAACAAUUAGAUCGUAGGGACCAUACCCAAUUAAUCAUCUAAGAUUUGAUUAUCCUCUUUACAUGUAUAUGAGCUUAAAUUAUUUGGAGGGUUCAAUACCACAGGUUCAUUCUAACCUAGUAUGGUUGGAUCUCUCUAAUAACAAGUUAUUAGGGCCCAUUACUCUAUUGUGUAUAGUUCCUAAUUCGCAUUUGGUUUAUCUUGCACCAAUGAUUAGAAGAAAGACAAUCACACCCUAAAUGGAAAUUUACUAUUUAGAUUAGCAUAUAUAUUGAAGGUCCACUCACUUCUCAUUAUUUAUUUACAAUAUUUAACUAUUUUAUAUUUUUUUAAUUAUAUUUGAAUAAUGAAUUUUAAUUUUUUUUAUUAAUCCCUAAAUGGAAAUUUACUAUUUAGAUUAGCAUAUAUAUUGAAGGUCCACUCACUUCUCAUUUUUUAUUUACAAUAUUUAACUAUUUUGUAUUUUUUAAUUAUAUUUGAAUAUUGAAGGUCCACUCUACAUCAUAUGUAUACUUGUUUUCAAUAAUUCUUCGAAUUAUGUUUUGAAAAUUAUUUUCGAAAAUCUUCCAAAUAGAUUCAAUGGAAAUUUUUUUAUCAAAAGGUCCUACUAUAUGGAAUUCUUUUUCCCAUAGGAACUUUAUGCUUGUGAAAUUUUUUAUCCAUUAUACCACGUCCCAUCUAUACCAACCAAAACUGUUUUCAAAUGUGAAGGUUGAAAGUAGAAGCUGAUCAAUUAACAUGUGGUAGGUAAAAUCCAUUAAAUUAUUGGAUGAGUUGUAAACUGAGUCUUGGUCUAUGGGGGUCAACAAUUGUACCAACCAUGAAAUGUAAGAAUUUAUAAAACAAAAAGUAAUUCCAUGAUUUUUAUUUUUUUUAGGUAUGGUUUUGAAAAAAGGAAGAUGAUAAAGCUAGCUUCCUAUGCAAUGAACCUCAAAACUUUUGAGCCCACUCAAUAGGCAAGGUUCAAACUCAACUUGUAGUAUAGGUCACAUUAUAGUACCCUUUACGAAUAAAUUUAUCUUCUUUUUUUUUUUUUUUAAGGCCAUGUUUGCUUGAUUAUUGGGAUAUCUAGGAUUUUAUCUUCCUCAAAAAGUGGAUUGUGGACUUUGGUGGGUCUCAUAAAGGAGAAAAGAAAUGCCCCAUGGAAGUUCUUGUCUUCGUCAAAAAACUUUUUCCACAUGCUUUGCUUUUCCAUUUGUAGCUAUCUUUAGAGACUUUAGGUCAAGGUCUUGGACAAAUUUGAUGGGUAGAAAUAUGAAUCAUGUACACUUUUAAAAAAGAAGCCCCUCUAGAAUAAUUAAAAUGUUACACUUUCACAUAAGUAUUAGCCUUUGAAAAUUAGAAGUAGUGUUUAUACACACUACCUUGUGACAUUCCAAACUCAUUUAGUUCAUCUUGUAACACUUCUUAAGAUAAUAUUAAUAAAUUUGUGAUAAUCUUAUAAAAAAAAGUAAACAUCUUCUAUCCCUUUCACAUGUGUCAAAUUUCCAAAUCUAUAGUUUCACAUGACACCACAUAUUUUUUUCCCUUAAAAAAUAACAUGGUUUCAUUAUUUAAUUAUUGCUUAGUUAAGAAAUAAAAGGUGAAUUUUAUUGUAGAAAUAAAUAUUAUUUUUAUAAUAAAUUGAAUAAGCCGUAAAAAGAAAUAUAUUUUUAUCUUAGUCUUAAAUUUUAUCUUGAAAUAAUAACUAAAAACAAAUUCUUUUCCAUAUUGAUUAUUUAAAAAAUAAUAAUAAUAAAUUAUAUUUCCAUAUUUAACGUUUUUUCCCUUAGAAAAAGCACUACAAAACAAUUGAUGAAUAAAGAAAUAAAAUUUAAAAAAGAAAAUAAAUAUUUUGUUUUAUUUUGAAAACAAAAAAAGAAGAUUGACAACAUAUUUUUGGAUUUUUAAAGAAAUUAAAAAAAAACAUUUACCUAUUUUUUAUUUUCAUUUUUAUUAAACAUACCAAAAAUCAAAAAUCAAAAAUCAAAGUACAUUAAAAUUAAUAUUUGUCUCUUAUUUAUAUUUAUUUAUUUUCAUUAUGUUUGGAAAAUCAAUGGAGUCUUUCAAGGUAUGUAAAGAAAAACUUGAUAUUAUUGAUCAUCGAUACUUUGUUAAUCACGUUUUAUAUCAAUAAGCCCUAUCUAGAGGCUUUAGGAAAUCCUAGAACAUGAAUAAAAUUAUGAAAAAGUAAAUCUCACUAAUGUAGUAACUAAUUAGGAUUUUUAUUUCUUUCUUAAAACUAUUAGAUUAUCUAAUAAUUAAAAGAAAUUAGAAGCUUAAAGCUUAUUUAGAUAUGCUUCCUAGUUUUUGUUUUUAAAAACAAAAAAUAAUAGUAACCUAUAUAUAAAAUAUAGCAACUCUUAAAUAGAAAGUAUAGAUUUAUCUUAUGAUCUUAAAAACCACAGUUUAAAAAAAUCAAAAUUUAAGAUAGUAAAAUUUUUUAAUACCUUAAGUUUUUUGAACUAUUUUUAAAACCAUUUUCUUUUUAAUAUGUCCCCAUGAUCUUUUUUCCAUUAAAUUUAUGUGGGAGUUAUUAUUAUUUUCUAACUUUUAAAAAUAAAAAACAAAAAGUGUAUCCAUAUUAAAUUAUUGGAUGAGUUGUAGAUUAUGAGUAUUGAUCUAUAGGGAUCAACAAUUACACCAACCAUGGAAUGGAAGAAUUUAUGAAACAAAAAUAAUUUCAUGGUUGUUUUUCUUAAUUAUAGUUUUGAAAGAAAUAAGAUAAAGCUUUUGGGUGUACUUAAUAGUCAAGUUUCAAACCCAACUUGUAGUAGGGGAAAGGAAUUCAGUGGGUGGUUAUUUUUCAAGUUUUCUACAACAAAUGUGGUAGCCCGAUGAUAACUAAGAAGGAUUUUUGGUGGAGACGUAUAUCCACGGACCAAAAUCUAGUUUCUUUGGCGAUGAAGGGAGAUAGAUCCCUUAUCCCCUCUUUGGCUAAUGAUAUAUCAUUCCUCCUUGAGUCAGUGGAUUUUUGUUAAUUAUAUUCUUUAUUUUCUAUGACAAAGAAACUUUAUGGGAGCGACAUUGGUGCACCAUCCCAACAACACCCGCCCCUUCUUCUUCAGGGAUGUCCUGUUCAGAUUCCAUGCCUUUAAUAUAUCAUGUACAACACAACUUUGUACAUACAAAAAGACAAAGAAAUCACCCAAAUACCCAUGAAUAUGGUAUUUUAUGGUACUCCAGCAUUAGGACCACAGUAUGAGUGGAGAAAAGGGCAAAAGAUAAAAGAAGAAUCAACUGCAAAGACCACUAAGUACCUUAUGUCUUUUCAACAACCAAAUGGAGCAUGGUAAACCUUAAUUUACUUUGUAGAAGAAUUAAAAAUUCCAUACCAAAAACAAUGUAAUGAAGAUUAAAACAUGUAUGGAAAUACAAAUUUUCUUCUAAACCAUGUUAUGUUGCUAAGAAAUUAGAAGGGACUAGUAGAUCAAGUCUUAAGAAAGUAACAUAUAUUAUGAAUUUAAAAUAUUUAAUUUUUUGAUAGAUAUCAUAAUUAGUAAUAUAAAAAAAUACACUAUAGUACACAGAACUUAUACAACAAACACCUAAAGGAAGGUCUCUAAAGGUAGCACCCAAAAAAUACCUUGACACUCAAUAAGACUCCACUUAGUCUUAAAAAUCGAACAAAGGCAUUGAUCUUCACUUAUGUAUAUGCUAACUCAAGCCGAAUGAUUAAAAAGGAAUGAUUGUUUUAACUUUUGAUUAUUCUACUCCUUAUUUUCGAAUUUUUUUUUUCUUAUGUUUCCAUCAAAUUGUCUAAAAAUUGUAAAGGGGGUAGAAUUUUUUCCUGUUCUUCCCUACAAGGAGCUAUGCCAACUUAAAAGGAUAUCUUUAUCGAAGAAGGGAACACCCAAUAUACACUAAAUAAGAAAAGCAAAAGUUCUCAUAGAAUCCUUGCUUUGAAGCAAUGAAAAAGUAAGUGAUCAAUAGAUUCCCUUUUAGUUAAUUUGUAAGGAUAACAUUUAUUCACUAGUGGCUAUCCUAUUUUCUAGAGAGGAUUUAAAGUCAUAACUUUUCCCCAAUUGGCUGCCCAUGUAAAAACCUCACUUUGGAUGGGAACCAUCAGUUACAGGCAAUGUUUAUUGGAAAAUGGACCAUUGUUCCCACUUCCAAGGCCACAUAGAAAGGUUUGACUUAAAACAAUCCUUUUUUUACUUAUUUCCAAAUCCUCUUGUUGAUAUCUUCCCUUUUAAUCACCUUUCCUUGUAUCAUGGAGGAAAAGGUCUCAACAAUGACUAACUCCCGAUUCGAAAGUGCCUAUUAAAGCAUGAAAUCCAAGGUGCCGCCCCUCUUUAAGUCUUCCCACAAAUCCGUCACCUAAGCCUCUUUGACAUAGCCAAUGCAUACAAAUAGGGAAAGUAGUUAUACAAGGGAUCCUCUACACACAAUCUAUUUGUCCAAAACUUAACCCUUUUGCCAUUACUCACUUGAAUGGAGGUUCUAUUAAAGAAAUGAUCUCAACCCUUCCCAAUAGCUUUCCAAAUACCAACCCCAUAACUACCUCUAACUUCACAAGGGUGCCAACUCACACCUUCCUUCCCAUACUUCCCCUUCAUAAUCUACUUUUAAAAAACUUCCCCAUAGAAAAACAUAUCUCAUGACCACCAACAUUUGUAACUGUGAUCUCCUUGUAUGUAUUUCUAUAUAAGUUGGAUCAUCUUAUGGAGAACAUGAUAAAACAAUUUGUUUGACAACAUUUUUGUGAAUUACUUAUUGUUAAUUGUCAAUGCAUAGCAUGUAGGAAAGCUCAAGGUGAUAGUUGAGGUGUUGGGACAAAUUAACUUAUUCAAGCAAAUGAAAGACAGCCAUGUGAUGGGGUUGAUAUCAAACAAAAAAUUAAUUCUCUAACUAAUAUUAAUAGUAGUAGAAUGAAUAAGAGAUAUGAACUAUUGUUAGAAAUUAUGCAUUGUUUGACAUGUAGAAGUGGGUUGAUAUACCAAAAAGUGACAAGUUUUCAUGGUGGAAAAAUUGUAUGUAUGAUGUUUGAAAAUAUUCAUAGUUUGAUACAUAAAUUUUUUUCAUUACCAAUUUGGUUCAAUAUCCUAUUAUUUGUGUUUUUUUAUUGCAAAUCACUAAUGAAAGAAUAAUUUAUAUGUUACAUGUAAAUCUAUGCAUGCAUAGGAGUGAAUAUUAAGGUGGACCCUUUUGAUUUAAAGCUAAAAAUAUUAAAUGAGGGUCAUACUAAUUUAGAAUAUUUAAGCUUGCUAGUUGUUAGAUUUGGUUUGGUAUUGACACUGAUGUAUGUUUUUGUGCUAUUAUUGUUAUUAUGGAAAUAAAAGUAGAAAAGAAUUUAAUCUAAAAAUUAAAAUAAAUAAAAAGUUAACAAAACAAUUUAUCAAUCCUACCAAAACAGUAAUUUAAAAAAAAUUCUAAAUAGGAUAACAAACUAUAGUUCAACAAAUUUUGAUAAUAUAAAAUUUACCAAACCACCAUUAUCUUUCUUUAUUAUGAAUAAAAGUUAUAAGUUCAUGUUUCAUCACUUUUUACAUGCUACUAUUUUACUCUUUUUUUUUUUUGGACGCGUUUACAUGGUUACCAAUUAAUGAAACGAAUGGAAAUUAUGCUCAUUCUCUUCAUUAUAUUUGUUUAUUUUGCUUUGACCAUGUUUGGUUCAUGGAAAAUGCUAAGAAAAGAAAACAAGGAGGAAAAGCAGAAAAAAAAAAAAAAAAAAAAAAACUAAGUUGAGAAACAUAAAUUUUUUCUCAUGUUUGAUUAUGCAUGGAAAAGUUAAGGGAAAAAAAAAAUCAAUGCUUUAUUAUAGAAUUUAUUUUACCUUGUUUAGUUCUUAGAGAUAAAGUGGAAGGAAAAUAAAAUCAUUAUAAAAAAUAAUCUAGAACAUUAAUCGUUUACAUAUAUUAAAAGUACAAUUACAAGUAAAUAAAUGAGAGAAAUGUAAAUAAUGGUUUAUAGUGGUUUGAUACAACUUAAUCUUUAUCUACUCUCCUCUUGCUUCAAUCCCAAGCUCGAGGUUCCAUUAUACCAAGGAUCCUUUAAACCAAGGAAUCCUUUAAUCCUUACAAUACUUGGAUUAACUAACUCCAAUAGGUCCUUAUAAUGUUGCUCAAGUGAUCCUCACACUUGAAACAAUUACCCAAGUGAUACCUCAUACUUAGCCAAUUCAUGAUUCCUUAUGCUUGAAUUCCACCCUCAAAUGAUAUUCUAUAUUUGAUAAUCUCUAAGUAAUACCUCGUACUUGAAAAAACCAUCACAAGAUAUCGAACUUUCAAAGAUAAACCUUCUAGUUAUAAUAUUUAGCUCUAAGAAUAUACGUUAAAAUAGGAUUAAAGGUGAAAUAAAUAAAAAAAUCAUGUUUAAGAACAAAUUGCACUCAAAACUACUUUCAAAGGCUCAAAGGAUUUUUCAACAAAGGUUUGGACUAUUCUCUCUACAAUAAAUGAAGUUGUAAUCCUUUAUAUAAGAAUUGCAUAACUAAACUAGUGAUUAGGCAUAAUUUACAUCUAUCAAUUGACCUAGGCAAUCAAUUGUUGCACUAGCCAUUAGUGGUGGGCAAGUGUAACAACCAUUGAGGCUAUUCACCUCAACUAGUAAAGAUACUGAUUGACUAGUUUAUUAUUGGCUCAAUUGAUACCUUUUACAAAUCUUUUUAUGAAAAUCCUUCUGAAUUGGUUAGUCAACCAUAUGAAAAUAUAAGAAAUUAAUGCAUAAGUGACCUUUAACUGCUCAAACUAUUUAGAUUUGAAAACUUAGGAUUAAAAAACAAUUUUUAAUAUCAUAAAAUAUAUGUCAAACCAUUAGUUUUUAUCCUUGAAAAAAUCAAUAUCAUUUUUUUUUAUAAAAUAAAUGAGUUCUUCAAAAAAGCAUUAUAAAGAUAAGAAUAUUAUUUUGAGUUUAAAAAGGCUUGGUUUUGAAAAAUCAAUACUAAGACAUAUUUAUCUUUAGAUUUAAGAAAACUUUCUAAUCAAGAAUAGCUAAUCAAAGGGUGAUUUUCAUUUGAAAUGAUUCUUCACCCAAUUUUGAAAAGAUUUAAGACAAGCUUAAAUUUAAUUGGAUGAGUUUUGGUACUUUAAACAAAAUGAUAUGCAUUCCUUAGUAUGCCCCACAUAAAAAUAACCUUAAGAUAUUCUUGAUAAACCUUCUCCUUGAUUUCCUCCUUAGCUCCAUAUAGGUUUUUCUUGAUUGCUCCAAGGAAAUAUUCUUAGCUAUUAAACUUAAUAAUAUUCAAUCGAAACCAAUUUUUGUUAAUAUUAAAAUAUUAGAUUAACUAAACCUUGAGCUAACAAUAUUGACAGGUAGAAAUCAAUGCAUAAGUAAGACAUCUUUAGUGGUAUGUAAGUAGGUUAAGGGAGGCUUUCUAAUCGUAAAUCUUUUUUAUAAGUAAAAUACUAACGUCUAAAUACAUGGUAACUCUAGCCAAUAAAAACUAGAGAUAGUGUUACCAUGAUUGUGUGGUAUUCUGAGUUAUCAUCUUCUAGCAUUUCCUCUAAUGUGUUCAAUUGUUUUUAUGUUAGAAAGAUUAAUUAUUUUUCAUAGUUAAUGAAACCCUAAUUUAAAUGAAUAAGGAUAAAAAUUUCUUAACAUAUUCAAAGAAAUAAAUCAAAUAAAGUAAAAUGCCCUUGAGAGUUCCACAAUCCAGUGUUGAAUCCUUAGAGAAAGACUAUUAUAAAACUUAUGGUUUAGGAUCAAAGUCAAUAUGUAAUCUAAUUAAAUCCUACAACCAAUAUUGCAUUUGAAAUUUAGAUUUUUAUUUUUAAAACACAUAUCUCUUAAACUAAUUAAAUAUGAUGGUUAAUUUUGGUUUCAAUUUUGUUCAAUCAAAAGCUUAUAUCCAUCUUGUAGAUUCAAUCCUUAGAUUGUUAAUUGUAUGAACAAAGUAUAGUAACUAGCGAUCAAGGUCUUUUCAAGAAUCACUAAUAUCUUGAUAAGAAUCCUCUAUACCUUAUUUAGAGUGAACUAACACAGAAUAUUUAUUGCUACCAAUUCAAACUUGAAAGAAUAAUCAAACCAUUCAAUACAUUGUUGUUUCUUGCCACUCCUUUGGAUUUUUCACUUUCAUGUUAGCAUAUUUGGAACUCAUAAAAUUAACCAAACAUGGUGGAGAAUUUCUCCUUACCACCCAUGUUUGGUUUUCAAUAAAAAUAGAAUGUUUCUUGCCACUCCUUUGGAUUUUUCACUUUCAUGUUAGCAUAUAUGGAACUCAUAAGAUUAACCAAACAUGGUGGAGAAUUUCUCCUUACCACCCAUGUUUGGUUUUCAAUAAAAAUAGAAUGGAAAAUAAUAGAAAAUGAAAUAAUACUAAAAACUUUAUUGAAUAAUUUCAAGAUGAGAGAUCAAUCUUUCUCUAUGGACCCUCAUUUUUCAUAUGCUUUCCCACUCAAUAACAAAACUCACUUUUUAUUAUGAAAAAAAUAAUUUUUGAAAAGCUAUAGUCACCACUUUUUUUUUUUUUAAGGGAAAACAAAAUAAAAAAUAAAACCCUAAAUUGACUUCCUUUUGAAGGAAAAUCAUGUCUUAGAAAAAUCGAGUCUAAUUUUGGAGAUUGGGUUACUUAUUGGGAUGGUACUAUAGACCCUCCAUUUUGGCCCAUUGGCACAUGCCCUAUUAGGUCUUCUUUUAGUACCCUACAACAAUUCCUUGGUGACUCAUUGCUACUCGAUACAACUUAACUUUUUUGAGCCAUUUGGAGACUCUUCGUUGAGAAGCUUAGUUGGACCCUCAUUGUGACCUUAGUUGUCUUUCAAGCAUAGGUUAGGUUUCACUUAGUCCUAUUUUCACUUAGGUCACUUAGGUGCACCUUAAAUUAGAUUCCACUUAGUUCACCUAGGGAGUAAACUUAGGUCACUUAGGCAUCAUUUUUUUUAUGAUAGGUUCACUUAGAGGUUUUUGGGCUUGGUUCAUUUAGGUUAGGUUUUGAGUUUGAUUGCCUAAAUUUAGUUUUAAGUGAGUGUUUGGUUUGAUUUUGAUUGCAUGGGGUGAAUUUUUUAUAUUUAGUUGUGUGGAUACGACAUUUCAAUUUUACUUAUUAACAAUUGCAUUAGAUUAGAUUAAUAUUUGAAUUUUAAUAGCAUGUGUUAUAUAUAUAUUUCUUUGUUUUAUUUUCUUAUUAUUUAUUUAUUUAUUAGAAAAUUAUAUGAGGUUGAAUUAAAUUUUUCCUAAAAUUAUAUGAAUUGAUAUUCAAAUUCCCUUAUAGAUGCAUGUUAGUGAUUUACUAAUUUUAUAAUUACAUAGUUUGUUUAUUUUAUUUAUUUUAUUUUUAUUUUUAUUUUUCAAUUACAUGGUUUCUAACGUAUAUUUAUUCUAUUUCUGCAUGAGGUAUCCGAGCCGCCAGGAGAUCAUUCAUGACUUUCUUUUCCCAUGGAAGAUAAUUUACAGAAUAUGGAAAACCAAGGUGGAAUUACGACUUACCAUAAAAAAAAAGGUAGAAGACCGAGCUGUAUAUCAUUGGAGAAUUUCUAGAGAUUAGGGCCAGCACUUUUCCAAAAGAAAGACGAGCCUCACGGCGGCAUAUUAAGCACAGAUUUGGGAAGGAAUCUCCACAUGAGCCGCACCAUCCAGACUUAUUUGAAAGGGGCUGCAUUUCUAUGAAUGAUCUACACCUGCCAAUGGAUAUCAGCAGUACAUCACUUGGAUCUUUAGAUAACAGUUGCAGUUCAGGCUCCUCACAUAAUAAUAUCAGAGAUGGCUUAAAUUUGAUUUCUGUGAAGACUAGUAACAAAUCUCACAGAUGUCAUGGUUAUGCGGAUAAACCUGAGACAAAUUUGAAGUUUUUAUCUGAACUUGCUACACGUCCAUGGAAGUCUCAACACCAGGUGGUCGAAGAUAUAGAAAAAGACAUGAAGGGCGAUGAUCAAGCUUGGCAUUCACUGUCAUCUAAGAAUUUUGUUGCACCACUGAUUUGGUUUCUGAAGGAUGCUCGUGAUGUAAAAGCUCAGAUAAUUGGAUCUCAGUUAUUAUUGGCAUUUAUCAGCAAAAGUGUAGUGGUAGAUCAUACUUAAGAGAAGAGAUUCAGAAAUCAACAAUACUGUUAGAAGGAGUUUCAGUGGAAAGUGACUUUUAAGCCCUCUUUCUCCUUCAAGUUUGUGGACCCGGGUUUCUCUCUUCACAAGGUGGCGGGAUAUAGAUAAUCUUGGUUUUGCAAUAUGGAAAGUUGGGAUGUUGAUAGUUUAAAGUUGGGAUAUAGAUAAUCUGCCUUUAUUGCUCGUGCAUCCAAUCAGACCGUUGCUACGUGCAAUGAGUAGGUGAAGAAUGGUCCAUCUUCAGAGUGUUUUAGUAAUAUCCCUGUAAUCUCGAAUCAUGGCACAAUCAUUCAAAGCCGUACAUCCAUCACAGUCUCCAUUUGUAAUUAAAUUUGCGAUCAUGACCACGACAACCGUUUUGGGAUAAGAACCACUAUGGCAGUGUUAUGGUCACUGGUGGAUCAACCAUGUUUCCUGGUAUCGUAGAUCGAAUGAGGAAGGAAAUUAUUGUUUUUAACUCCAAGGGGCAUGAACAUUCUACUGGGAUAAACAUAAACAAUGCACAAUCAGGUUUUAUUCCCUUUUGUGAGAAUCUAAUAUGAAUCAAUUAAAUAAAGUAAUAAGAAUUCACCAAAUCAACAAGUAUAUGAACACCAACAAUUUUUAACGUAAAAAACAUUUUUCAAUGUGAGAAGUAAAAACAACGAGACCCUUAGGCCACUUAAAAACUCCACUAAUAUAAUCAAUGGGUUUCACAAUUUUCUUUUGAUAAAACUAGAGGCAUACAUCAACCAUAUCUCAAGAAAAAUUAAUCUUGGCAAUUUCAACAACUUUGCAUAAAGACAAUGGAAAAAUCUUACUAAACACAACCAUUGUUCUCGGACUGAAAUAUAACUAUUCCGAACUCCAAAUCCGAUCUCCAACAUUCAAAAUGAAGUUCAAUGAGUUCUGAAUGUGCUCACCAAAAAUCAGCUCAAUCGAACCACAGAUUAACCUUGAUCGGAGCUUAUGAUCAAAACUGUCCAGAUAGAAAACUCACCAAAACAGAGGCUCUGUUCUUGGACUGAAAGAAGAUCGUCCGGAACUCUAAAUCCGAUCUCCACCAUUCAGAUUGAAGAUCAAUGAGUCAUGAACCUCUUCUUCAAAUUUCAGGUCAAUCGGUCCACAACGAAAUAGGAUUGGACCUUUGAUGAAAUUUGGAUAGUGAAGAAAAACUGAGUUUUUUUCUCUAACUUCAAAAAUGGUGGUUCUCCCCUUAUCUCUCUUUUCUCCUUCUACUCUCUUUUUUUUCUACCUCCGGUGGCUGCAAAAAAAAUAAAAUUGGAAGAAGAAGAAGAAGAAGAAGGAUUCUUCUUCUAACCCUUUUAUAUAAAGGCCUAAAAGACCUUAAAUUUUGGGCUCUUAAUUUGGGUCUUCCACAUGAGAAAAAAAACCAAACACAUUUAAGGUGGUUGGACAUCAUUCCCUUGUUGUAAACUCACUUCCAAAGGAACUUAUUCCCAAUGUCAUGGCCAAUGACGAUGUUUUGAAUCAUCCUAAAGAAUAAGCAAUCCAGAUUUUCUUGAUCAUGAGCCAACCAUAUUGAAAGAUGAUGGAAUACUUGAGGAAAAGAAGACAUACUCAGGUCAUGGAGCAAACUGUUGAUGAACAAGUAGGGCGAAAGGUGACACGUACGUGUGAUGCUUCUUCGUGCUGUCAUGCACUCACAAAUGCCAUUUCGGAGCGUUUUCUGAAAGUUCUAUGGAUUUAGAAUUAGAAUAUGGAGAAGCCGCCUGCUGACCAAUCAGAUGUAGAAGCCUAUGUCACCUCCAACAUUACAAAUUCCUUCCCAUGUCCACCUGUCACUCCGGACCGACCAAAGAAAAUACUGAAUUUUUCUGUGGAUGAGAGCUCAAGCCCUGAAAAAAAAAUCAAGAGUACAUAUUUUAUGGAGCUACUGAAAACUAUUGUGGUGAACCAUGCGGUAUUCUUUUGCUGGAUGCUCUUACACGACAUUUUUUAUGGAGUCAGCACCUCUCACACCCAUACUCCUACAAAAGCAGCAUGAACAUCAUCUGCCACCUCAUGGACUCAACCGGACCCAUGCAUAAACUCCAUUGGGUUGACAAUUCAGAUUGGGAAGUCAAUGCAAUGCCAGCCAACGAGCAGUCAGAACUGCAUUAUGGUAGUUUUUGCAAAUCAGGCUCUUUCACAUGUGGUCUGAGUAGCUCAAGGUGUACCCAGACGCUUGAAUCCAUGAUCAAGACUCUCCGUCCAACCCAUACUGAAGCAGUUGUUGUAGCCCACGCAGCUCUCGAUGGGAUUGGUCGUGAGAGGAGAGAGAACAACAGGGCCUAUCCAUGUGAGAUAUGUUGAUCAUUUUAGGUGUAGGGUCCCUGAAGCAAAGGAAAACUAUGCAAAAGGAGAACAACAGAUAAGGGGUUUGUAGAUGUAAGUAGGUAAUAUGGCAUGGAUUCUGGACGUGUUGGUCAGAAUAACAAGUUUGAAGUCAGGGAUGCAAUUUCUUGGACCUCAGUGAUCUCAGUUUACGCCCCCAUGGAGGAAGCAUUUCCAACUUACCAGACAAUGCUCGACACGCUGGAUGGAGUCCGAGACGAUACUGGUGGAAACCGCACUUCAUGGGGCAAUUUGGACUGGACAUUCCUGCUGAAGAUGUAGGUAUUCAUCAGUUCAUUCUCCUGGGCAGCAUAAUUUACAACACAUCAACGCAGAUGGGCCACUGCAUGGGAGAUAUGUGGAAGUGUUGAAACAAAUCAAGAUUCAGAAAUUCUAGCAAGCCAAAAAGGGUCCUGCCAGCUUCUGAUCUGUUGGCUUUGCCUCACCAAUGACAGGAUAAUUGGACUCCAUCACUCAUUUUUUACCAGCUUCUCUUCCAUCUUCCCACGUGCAUGCAAUUUUUGACCAUGCAUGGCCAUCCUUAUUGACCCCAGUGUAGAGUUUUCAUUUUGGUGGCACAAUCCUCUGUUUGUUUUGAAUUCAUUUAUUCAUUCCAUGUUUUGACCAUUUUACUUUAACAGAAAAUAAUCCAAUGAUUUUUUUUGCAUGUCUUUAAAAUUGUUCCAAGAUUUCUUUAGACUUCUCUUUAGUAAUUAUAAUAAAUUUCAAUCUUAGUAAACUUUUGCUGCCAUUUUUCCUUCGGCAAGCAACUUUAAUAUUUUUUUCCUCUUUUUUUACUAAAUUGCUUGAUCUUCUCAAUUUUAAUAAUAAUGUGAUUAAAUUCUAUAAUUCCAAAAUAAUGGAAUUUUAUCUAAAUUCCUAUGAUCCUUUGUCCAUAAUCAUUAGAAAAAUGGAAUUGAGAGAAUUAAUUUAUGCUAAAUAAACUGGGCAUUGGUGGGCCUUUUUCUCUCUCGAUUAUUGAUUGCUAUGCUUGAUUGUCUAAUGAUUGAUAUUUUUUUUAUACUGUGACAUACAUAUGAUUAUUUCUAUACCUGUGUACUAACCAUAUUUUCCAGGAAAUGCUCAAUUAGUUGCUCUGGUGUACCUUUUAUCCUUUCUCAUUUGUUUGAUUAUAUGUCUAUCAAUAUCUUGAUCAAUGUAGAUUAUGCUUAUUGCUUAUCAUCCAUAGGAUUUCCCUAUCAAUUAUCAUAUCUACCUUAACUUGAUUAGUAAAGACCAAAUUUAGGGGCUUAAAAGGGGUGUUAUGACUUAUUAUCAUACCUUUCUGAUAGGUAAACUAACCAUUGGAGGACCCAAACUUGGUUUUCACAGAUUUGUCUUUCCCUUUUUUAGGAGUCACAUUUAGAGUUUUUUUUCUUGUUUUUUUUUCUUUUAAAAAAUAAAACAAAAAUAAGUGACGACUCCAAAACCUUUUCUAAAAUCAUUUUUUUUAUAUAAAUAAAGAGCGAGUCUGGUUAAUAAGUGGGGAUGCACAUGAAAAGUGUGGGUCUACAGGUACUACAGGGUAACACCCCUCUAAGCCCUAAAGAGGUCUCUACUAAACAAGUGGUAGGUGCGCCAAGUUGAGGUGUGUAAGAAUGUUUAAACCAAAGGUGCAUAAAAGGCUUAUUGUGAGGUGGGUGGAAAUAAUUUAAAUGAGAGUGAGGUUUGUAGGAUUUGUUUAAAGGGCAAGGCGUGCAAAUUAAGUUGAGGUGGUGUGUAAGAUUUGUUUGAUAUAUAUAUAUAUAUAUAUAUAUAUAUAUAUAAUCCUAUAUAACCAAUGGGCAAGAAGAAGUAUGAGCUAACCUAGAAUCAACAAAAUUGAUGAGAAUAAUAGAUUCAUUUGAGUAUAUAAGAGACAAUUUCUUAUGAGAAAGCUUUGGAAACCAAGAAGAAUGAGUUUCAUAUUUAUAAGAGUUCUUUAUCUUUUUAGAGAGAAAGAGAANNNNNNNNNNNNNNNNNNNNNNNNNNNNNNNNNNNNNNNNNNNNNNNNNNNNNNNNNNNNNNNNNNNNNNNNNNNNNNNNNNNNNNNNNNNNNNNNNNNNAUGAAUAAAAUCAAUUGGUUUUGGAGAGAAAUACUUUAAACCAAUAUUCCUUUAUAUCUUUCUAUAAUAUUAUUCUAUGAAAGAAAAUCAAGAUAAUGAAUGAGUCCUAAAACAUAAAAAAAAACAUUAUAUAUAUGGAAGAAUAAGUUGAUAUGCCCACAAUCUCUAAAUAAGAGAUAAAAGAAGUAUAUUAAGCAUAUAAUCAUCAAAAUAAAGUAAGAAACAUAUUACACUCACAUGUCAAUCAUAGGAUGACAAGUUGAGAGGACGAAGUUAUUGGGAUUUAAGCUUCCAUUUGUUCUACGUUUGAUAAUACUCCACAACAUGCUAAAAUAUGAGAUGAAAGGGUGUCGAAUUCCUAAAACACAGAGUAAAAGAUAAUAUUAAUCAAUUUGAAAUAAUAUCUUUAAUUAGUUGUAUGAAAAGAAAAUUUACAUUAGUAUUCUUGUUUUAAAAACUAGACAAGUACUCUUUGGUUUGUUACUUAGAAUGAUACCUUAAAUAUUGUUGUGUAUUUGAAGAGAAUUAAAAAAAUUGCAUUCAACAUUACAAAAGGGACAAAUUUGUGAGAAAAUGUAAAAUAAUACAAAAGGUCAAUUUUACAACUAAUUAGUAUAUUAAAAUCUCCUAGAUUUUUCCAUUCAUAAAUCUUAGCUUAUCGGAAUAUAUUAUAGAAGGUUAACAAUUAAUUAAAUAAAAGAAGUAAUAUGAAAAUUUCUAGUUAAGACCUACUUUUCUUUUACAACCAUUGCUCUUUAAGAAUAAGUUAAGAUUGUUUUCUUACAAAUGAGAGAAAAGUAGAGAGAGAGAGAGAGAGAAAGAGUUGUACCAUUUAACUUUGAAGACUCCUCCAUAAUCUAGUCAUAUAGAACCAAUCUUUUAUUUUAUUCAAAAAUGGCAAAUAAGCAUAUCUCCAUGAAUUGUUGAGGAGUAGAGUUCCACACACUCCCCUAAAUUCAACAAUAAAUCCAAGAGCAAUGCUAACAUAAAACCACAUGUCAUUUCCAUCUUGUUGAAUGUUGUCUUCAUAGCUAUAAGCGUUGGGAGCUCUUUCUAAUCUAUCUCUUGGGCAUUUUUUUCAAAAAAUGUGGUCCACAAAGUGUAGGAUUUCCCUUAUAAGUAGAAGCAUUGAAGCUUUAAAGUUGAGUAACUCAUGGAAUCUUACCAGAUAAGUUGUUAGAGACGUCUAAGGUACUCAAACGAUCUAUUUCAUAAAGGCUAGCUGCAAUUUUACCAAUGAGCUAAUUUUGAAACAAAUCAAGAGCGUCUAAUGAUUUCAAUUGACCAAUAGUUGUAAGGAUCAAUCCGGUUAAAUUGUUUCUUGAAAAGUUCAAUAAACCAAUUUUACAAGACCAGUUACUUCUUUUGGAAUCUCCUUAGUUACCUUGUUGUUUUAAAGAUCAACACUCUUUACUAGUCCAAGAGUUUACCCUUUAUCGACAAUUCACUUUUCCGGCCUUCAAAUUGUCUUUCUCUUUUAAGAUUGAGUCUCCUUUGCAUAGAUUCUAGUUGUUCUUAGACUCAUGAAGUGUGUGGAAGAUCUUCCUACAAUUGCAUGCUAUUAGUGCGUGUUCACACCAUAGCUAUUGGAUGUUUUUUUUUGCCUUUCCAUAGAAGGUAGUGGUCUGUUUUGCCAUUUGAAUUUAUGAUGAUUCAACUUUUGAAAUGUUCCUCUAAUAAACCUUCUUCUACAAGCAUAGAUAUAAAUUCAAAGUAGAGAGGCCGGUCAGGCCAACCGCCCUCCAAUGAUCAAGUCAACCACGGGUGAAGGAUUAACAAAUUAAAAAAAGACACAAAUUGUUGUGUUAUAAUGGUCAAGUUGUUUUGUUAGUAAUAAGUGUAUUGUUAUGCAAUGAUGAAGCAACACACAAAUUGUGUGGUAGAGAAAAGUAAGAGAAAAAACAACUAAUGAAAAUAAAAAAAUAGUUUAAAUUCAUAUCCAAUUUUCCAAAUUGAUAAGAAUAUUUAGGUAGCUUUGGCCAAAUAAUUUGUGUAAACCUAAACCAUAUAGCAAAUUAAACUAAAAAGUAAUAGGGGCAAUUUUGCUGUCCUCCACAAAUUUAUAAUCUACUCUUCUCUUGUAAACCAUCUUCCAAAAUCUACAAAAUAAUUCAUCUCCUAUAACCCGUUUUCCAAAGUAUUGAUAUAAAAUGAAUUUAGUUUGAAAUGAAAUUACUUGACAUAUGACUCAUAUCAAUCUCACAAAGUAUAUUUUUUCAAAAAAAAAAAAAAAGAAAAAAGAAAUAUAUUCAUGUAUUUAUGUAAAUUUUUUAUGAUUUAAUAUUCAAUAAAAAAAACUAGAUAAAAUCCAUUUGUAAACAUAAUUUUAAAUUUAAUUUUAUCUAAUCUAAUAUAAAAUUAAGAAUUGGCAUUUUAUGACUAAAUUAUCUUUUUCACACUAAAAAUUCAAAUGAGGUAAUCACAAGACUAAUGUUUUGGGAGAUUUUUGUACCAAUAUUUUUAAUUAUUUUCUGGAAAACUAUUAACUAAGAAAGAAAUUUCCUAAUUUGAGUUGUCUAGGCUUCUAAUAAGAGAAUAUUAUUCUUUCGUUUUCAUUAUGUCUUUAAAAUUUUUUUGGCUAUGUAAGCUCUGUCAUUUUUUUUUUUUGGCAUUAAUAGUAAAAAUAAAGCUUUUGAUUUUUCUCAAAAAGAAGGGAAAAGAGAAACGCAAAAGUUCAUGACAAAAAACAUGUUUAUGAUUACAUUUUUUUGAAAUUAUUUUCAAAUAUGUUCUAAAAUUGGGUAAUUUAUUUACAAAAUAUUAAGAUAUUAUUAUUUUUCUUUUAGAAAUGCAUGAACUUUAACAAAAAAAAAAUGAUUUUAAAAGAAUAUGUUUGUUUGUUUAUUUUAAACACAAAUACUAUAAAAAAACGAUUUGAAAAUAAAUUUUUCCUUAUCAAGGACUGAUGAUUAUUGUGAAUAACUUAGAAAACACAAAUAAAUAAAUAAAAAGAAAAAAAGAUUUCCAUAAGCUUAUUAGACAUUUUUUUUUGUAAUUUUUUGGGUUUAGUUAACCCACACGCAGAUUUAGGUCUAUAAUACCACAUACCUCGAAAGGUAUGCAUCUUCUACAUCCAUGGAGGUCACUAGCUUUAUUUAUACCAAUAUAUAAAAAAUAAGGUAAGAAUAUCAAAAUAGUAAUCUUCCGAUGUUAAUGGAUAUUAGUUGGUACUAUUAGAAUAAAAUUUUAAAUAAUAAAAAAAAUCAUAACAGUUAUCACUUAACUAGCAUGUUGAGUUGUGUGGAGCCUAAUUAUGGUAUACAUUGUAAUGUCCCAAAUAUUAAAAAAAAGUUAAUAUCGAUGUGUUUAGUCUACUAAUAAAGAUUAAUGAAUUAAUUAAUAAAUUUUUUAAUUACUAAAAAGAUGGGAGAUGGUUAAUAGGUGAUUCGUGCCCAAUUGGUGUCUCAGCUGAUUUGUGUCCAGUUGGUGCUCCUUGAUUGAGGGAGUAAUCAACAAAAUUUAUAACCUAUAACACCAUAUACUAGGGUAGCAAAGAAAAAGCUACUAUAGUAUAGUGGCUCUAGGAUCGUCCACUGGGAAAGAUUAACAAGCUCUCAAUGAUACCAAUUCCAAGUGAAUUGGUUUUGUUUCAUUUCAUGGUUAGCUUAAGAAGUAAAACACAAACUUUGAUUGGUAAAGGUUUAGACUUAAACUAACUAACACAACAGAAGUUUGGAAUAAUUUAGGAAGAAAAGCAUUCCUUGGAGAUUUAGGUUCACUGGGGUGGUUCCUCAUGCAAAAGACACGGCUCUGGUCAGAUGGUUCAUUUCCUCGUGUUAGAGAUUCAACAUAUAGUUAAUUCUCUAACCGGUGUUGUACAGAGACUCCUUCAAUUAGAUUUCACUUUAAUUCUCUCACUGAUGCAACUUGCAAUGGUUUAAGCCUCUCACUAAGCCUUAACCAUUCAAGGUGAUCUUUAACCUUGGAUUACCCGUCAAAAGCUCGCAAGAGAUAACUAAUGGAUGUCUCCUAGGAGUCCAAAAGCUUACCAAGUGUUGGCUAUUCUAGAAAAUCCUACCUUGAAGUCACCUCUCAGAGGCUCGCAAGGGGUAAACUAGUGCCUUUCCAUGGUUGGAAAUCACUUGCCUUACCAAGUGUUGGCCCAGGUGACUUUAAGGUGUUUUAAGUUAACUAAAAACAUAGAAAUCACUAAAGGAUUUCACUUCCUCUUCAUUACUAGCUAAAACCACAAAGCUCUUCAUUCUUGCACUUGGAACCUUCCCCGGCAACCUUAGCUCCAAGGAAUUAGAGGUUUAGUUACUCAUUCUCUGGGGAAAACUCCUCAGAGAAUUCAUAACUUAGAAAUAAAAUAAAAAUACAAAGUGAGAAGGUAAGGCAGUAGAAAGAAAAUAGACUUUACUUGCUUACCCAAACUUUUACAGAAGGAACUCCUCUCUGAGAACAGGCUCCCGAGAGGUAUAUAUAUGAACAUAAUAUAAAACUAAUUAUUACAUAGAUAUUUAGUCUUUUUACUAACUUAAAAACUAAGGAAUCAUGUAAUUGGUGGUUUACAAGGAGUAUUUUGGGAUUUAGACAACAAAAAUCUAAUGGAAAAUAUCUCCCAAUGUCGGUAGCAAAUAUCGGGAGGCUUCAGGAACCAUUUCGCAGGAGAAAAAUGGUGUCUGCGAGAUUUCGCAGACACUCAAGAGGGCUGCGAAAUAAUUUCGCAACACCAAGCUAUCUUCACAGGGCUGCGAAGUUUGCUUCCACCUUGAGGUUCCAAGCUUCCUUCUCGAGGUAUAUGUCGGGCAACUUCAGAAGGAAACACACCCUACUAUACAAAAAGGUUGCGGAAUCACUUCGCAACAAAAGGGUGAUUUCGCAGCACUUUGCAAAAUGCUGCCUUCAGCUCGGAGUGAUUGGCUUGUAAUGGCUGCAACUUGUUCGUUUCAACUCCGAAUUGCACACCGUUUGAAGCAUUGGAUUGUUGACUUCCUAAGCUUUGAAAUGGUAUAUAGCAUGCAUCAUUUGGACUUCAGAAAGUGCUCCAAAAGUGGCUGCUACGACUGUCAUCAAGAAUAUGCUUUAUGGCAGAUUCUCUUUGCUUUUUCUCCUUGCAAUCCGGAUUUACUCUUAGAAAAUGACUUCUAAGCUUUGCCCAAGAUUCCUCAUAGGUCUCCUCAGACUUGACUUGCUUUGGUGAUCAAAAUACUAACAAAAACACCAAAACUUACACAAAAGUGAUCAAAAUUGCUUUCAAGGGUCAUUAACAUGUCAAUUGAGUUAAAAGGCCAAAAUUACUACUCAAAAGUGUUUAAAAGGAUUAAUUAUAGGCUAUCAAAUAGCACUUUUUGAGUAGUAAUCACUCCCCUCAACCGACAUAUUGCUAGUCCCUUAGCAAUAUAGGAGAGAAAAAUGAAAAUAAAUAGCAAAUUAUACUAAAAUUUACAACAUCAUGCUGAAAGAAAAUAAUUCUCAAGUGGCAUGAUGAUCUAAUUCUCACAUGAAGCAUUAAAGAAAUACAAACCCAAAUCUCAACAAGAGUCAUAACAACUAUGCUAAACACUGUCAAUCAAGGGAAUGCAUUAUGCAAACUGAAGUUUUAAAAUCAUUUCCACUAUCUAAGAACCAAACUUUAAUCUUCCACAAAAAUCUAUGUGUAUUGGUUCCUUAGGUUCCGAGAAUAAUAUUGAUGCGACUCAUGGUAGCUUAGCUUUAAAGGCGUAUCAACAAAAUUUAUACCUUGAAUACUAUUACUAAAGUAGCCAAGCUACUAUAGCAUAGUGGUUCUAGGAUCGUUCACUGGGAAGGGUUUUCGCAAACACAAGUGAUAUUCAAAUUAGGAAAAUAGGUGAUUUUCUUAUGGAUGUUAACUUAAAAAGAAUAUGUAAAUGUUUUAGAAAGAUUUAAACUAAUCUAAGCUAACAUUAAAGACUAAAAUGAAAGGGUGUAAAAACAAGUUUCUCAAAGAUAGGAUAGUUAUGCUCUGGCUCUUAUGCAAAUUGGAAAUCUCAGGAUAGGCUCCUUGCGUUGGGGUUGCAACUAUGGUGAUGCUUGCUUCCCGAACCGGUAUGGAUUUAGCAAAUCAAGUUUUAAUCCUUUAAAAUGACAAAACAGAUGGUAGUGAAUUUCAUCAAUGGUUAUUCACCUUAGACUUCCUUUGAAUGGCUCGUAAGAGAUAACUAAUGGUCUAAAGCCAAAAGCUUACCAAAUAUUGGCAACUCAAAGUCAUUCCAGGUGAUAAACUCACCUUUCAAUGGCCAUUGAAAUUGGUUCUAACGGAUUAAUGCAAAACUUGGAAUUGAAAACCUCACCUUCCAAUAGCUCGUAGGAGAUAACUAAUGGAUAGAAAUCCAAAAGCUUAUCAAGUAUUGGCCGUUGGAAGUUGUCCAAAGGAAAUAAAAAACCAAACUUUGCAUUAAUGAACCUUUAAUGAAAAACGUCUACCUUACCUUCCGGGUGCAAGAAAUUUCCAUGGGAUUUCAUCCAAGCCAUCACAUAACAUCCAUACUUUGAGAAACUAAAAGUUUUAGCCAAUCAUCCUCUAAGGAAAAGCCCUCAGAGGCUGUUUGGCUACUAAGAAAAUAGAAAUAGUAAAGAGAAAAGAGAAACGAGAGAGCUCUGUAUCUAUUCUCUAAGUGUUAAACGUAAUAUCUAUUCUAUAUUCUAUAUAUCAUCCAAGAGGUGAUUUCCACCCCUUAUAUAGUCUUUACAAAAGCAAAAGCUUGUGAUUGGUUAGUUACAAGGAUAAGAAAGGAAAUUACAUCACAAAAUACAAAGGAAAAUAUCUAAAGUGGAGUCGGCAAAAGCAGAGGAAAAUUCGCAACACGCAUGGGUUAUGCGAAUUUUGAAGGUGUUAUGCGAAUUUCGCAUAACCUGGAGCAGUUGGCUUCCAAAGGCCAUAUCUUCCUCAUUUCAACUCCAAAUCGUGAACGGUUUGAAGCGUUGGAUUCUUGACUUCCAGAGCUUUGAAAUGGUAUAUAGUAUGUAAAAAAUGGACUUUGGGAAGUUCUCCAAAAGUGCGAAAGAAGACUGCAGCUGCUGUCCUCUGUUUUCCUCUUCUCCAUUGUUCUUUCCUUGCAUACUUUGAACGACUUUGGAAAAGGGCUAUGAAGCUCCAAAGCUUGGUUCUUCAUGAAUUUGAGCUUCCAAAAGCUUUGCCAUAACUUGUCCAAGUAGCUCCUCCAUCAUUUGGCAUGCUUGAAUUGAUUCAUAAGCUGAUAAAAACAUGUAAACUUGCCACAAAAUGGUUAAAACCAAUUACUAAGGACCUUAAUGAAUUAAUUGGGUUAAAUGAAUAUGAUUACUACUCAAAGGUGCUUAAAAUCAUUAUAAUUAGGUCUACAAAAUAGCACUUUUUGGUAGUAAUCAAAUAUGCUAAACUAGUCUCACCCCCCAACCUAUCUCUUUUCAACACUUAGCAAUUUGACCAAAAUCAAUAAGAAAAGAACACACCUUUUUUAUUUUUUUUUUUUUUUUUUUUUUUUUUUAUGGGGUACUCUUUCUGAAUUGUCCAUGUAAUGGGGGUCCAUCGAUGACUCCCAACCAAUUAAGGUUAGGGCACCAAGCUUUAAGGAUCUUUCAACCACUAACUUCUCGGAUUUUUCCCCGGACUUUUAAGAAUGAGUUUCUAAUACCCAAGCAUCUAUCAUAUGCUAACUCUACCUAUUCACCCUUGUAACGAGCAUUGAGGUCGGUGACUCCCAACCAAUUAAGGCUUAGGGCACCAGGCUUAAAAGAUUUUCACCAUAUACCCCUCAGACCUUGCUCAGGUUUCAAGGCAAGCAAACAACUUUCUUUAUUUCAAAGGCUCAUUGGCCUUUUGCAGGGUGUUUCAAUUUUUAUCAAAUGAGGUCAAAUAUACCAAGUCCCAAAAUUAUAUUAAGUCAAGAGGGAAAUAGCUUUUCAUCUUAUAAUCGGAAUCUAAUGUGCACAGUGUGUGGAUAGCUUAAAGUGGAAGAACUAAAUUCAAUUUCAAUAGAAAUUUCAACAAUUGAACCACUUUAGUAAGCAUAAUCCAUACUCUAAGUCAAGUGAAAAAACAACAGUUCAAUUUCUCUUGGUUUAAUUUGAAAAUUUUUCCUCAAAAUUCAUGGAGAAUAGAGUAAAAAGAGUAAAAAGUAAAAACUACAACUAAUUAACCAAUAUAAUUGCAUUACCAAAAAGAUUUAACAUACUUCCUUCCUCAUUCCCCCCAACCGAAUUGAGCAUUGUCCUCAAUGUGAUAUGAGUGAUUGUAAUUAAAGGGAGGAAGUGGUACCUCCUGGCUGAUAUCAAAUUCGAAUAUUGAUUGGGGAAAACCACAUGUUUCAAAAAGAAUAGAAUAUGUGAGAAAAGGAAAUAAGAAUAACUUAAUGCUAACUGUUAACAAGAAAUAUUCAACUUGUAUUACUUUCAAUUCAUUCGAGUACAAUGCAAAAGACAAGUAACACAAGGAAUCCCAAAUAUAGUACCAAAAUACUGGGACUUCUUUUCAACUAAAAAAAACAAAUACAUAAAAAUAUUAGAUAUAUAUAAUAGUCUGAUGAGUGGGGUGGUGGGGCUAGGCAGAUGGGUCUGCCUCUUCAGUAGGUGCAUCAGCUGGGGCUUGGGGCUCUGGAGGAUGAGACUCUGAGGGAUGAGAGUGUGGCUCUGCUGGAGUAGAAGUGGAGGGCUCUACAGCUUAUGGCAGAUCGAAAUGAACUUGGAGCUGCCUUAAGAUGGCAGCUUGUUGAGCCUGAGUGGCCAACAUCUGCUCUUGGCAUGCUCUGAUGGCUGCCAUCUCUUGAGCAAGACUGCUCUAAGAAGCUGUAAGAGUCUCCAAUGCACGGCACAACUCUCUAUAUUCAGAUAUAGGAAUGGCCAUCCUCGGCUCAGCUGAUGUGGAUGGCUGAGAUGAAGCUGAUGCAGCUGGUGGAGCUCUAGGAAUGGCAGGAGCUGCAACUGUUAUACCUUCAGUUAUAUGUCUUGGGGAAGCUCUCCUUGCAGCUGGUUGAGGCUGCUCAGGCUGAUCAACUUUGUAGGCCGUCAUGUUGUUCCAUUUAUCAAGAGUAAAUGGCUCACGGCAAAUUCGCUUUCUCUCCAGCUGAGGCUCAGAAGGAUAUCCCAAAUGCUCCAAAAUUUGGCAUAGCAGCCUUGGAAAGAGGAGGGGAAUGCAAUCAGCUCUUUAAAGCUUCUUUUUGUGAACUUUCUCUUCAAAAUAGAGAAGGGCUGCUAGGAUCAGAUGAUGAGGCCCAAAGAAAAAUCCUUCUGACAUCUUGUAAAGAGCUUCCAGGAGGACUCCCCUUCUUUGGGUCCAAUGCUGCAAUGGAUAUAUAUUAUGACGCAAAAAGGCAUCAAUCAAAAACAUAACUGGAGGAAGCUCCCCCCUCAGCAGAUGUGAUUGAUUUACAGCUCCUCUAGAAAGGGUGCGCACCAUCUCCAGCUCAGUAGGAUUUGCCCAAGCUCUAAAAUUAUCGAAUUGGGUUGGCUCAAAGGGAAUUUGCAGGGCUUCAGCAAUAUGUCGUGCUCCCAAUAUGCCAUGUCUCCCAUCGAUAGUGAAAUGAAUUAGAGUUGGAUUCCUAACCUUUUUGGUUGUCAUGGAUUGAUAGAAAUCCGUGGCUAUCCGGGGGUAGAAAAAAUCUCUUGGAGCUAGAAGAUGCUCCAUAUGGUACCUUCUCAGCAGCUGGAAUGAUUGGGCAAGCUCCGGCCUCACUCUGAAUGCCGGUAAGUUGAAGCAUAGCUCGGAAUGGAAUGGCCGAGCUCUACAAUCCAAGUUUCCCUCAAUUGGGGGCUGAGGUAGCAUUGGCCUCCAGAUUACUUCUUCCAGAGCUGUUUCGGAUGGAAUUUGAGGCUCAGGAAGUGGCGUUGGAGGCUCCUGAGAUUUUUCUUACAACGUCGGAGAUGGUACCGGCGACGGAACUGGCACGGGACUCGGCGACGGAACUGGAGACGGCAUUGGAGUUGGAAUUGGUGAAGGCUCUGGAGAUUGCUCAGUCAAAUCGAUGGGUUCUGAGCUCUCCACCCUGGGUUUCUUCUGCAAUGGCCGACCCCCUGACCUGGUAAGGUAUCGUCUUGCCGGAGGCUUUGGCGGUGCGGGCUUCAUCGGGGGAGGAAUUACUUUCGGCUGCGAAGGCUCUGGAGCAGAAUCUGGAACUGGCUCCUUUCGCAGACUCUUCUUGCGAUUCGAAGGAGAUGAAGAUUUAGCCCCUCGUGUUCGUGCCAUUUAGGGAUACCGAAAUUUGGCCGACGUUGCUGAACGGAGAAGAUGACCGGAGGCUUGGAUGGCGAGGCUCAAGGAAGAAAAUGAAAGGUCUGUGAAAAUGGCGCUCUGAUUUUUGAAACCCUUUUCGCAGCUCAAAUGACCGGUAUAAAUAGGAAAAACGGAAGCCUAAGGGUCAGUUUAAGUUUCGCAACAAAACGCCAAUUUCGCAGCAAAAUGCCAUUUUCGCAGCAACUUCGCAGUGCGUUUCGCAGCUGCGAAAUGAGAGUUCCUGUGCUGCGAAGUGGCACUCGUGUGCCAAAACCACUUUCGCAAUUGCGAAAUACCCUGCGGAAUGGAACUUUUGGUGCGAAAUCACGCUUUUUCACUUCGCAAUGCGUUUCGCAGCUGCCAAAUGGAUGCUACUGUACUGCGAAGUGGCACUCGUGUGCCAAAUUUGCUUUCGCAGCUGCGAAAUACCCUCGCAGAGACUUCUACAGUGUUGCGGAAUGGUUUUGCAGCAUAAUGCUGAUUUCGCAGAAGUUUCCUUCACUCUGCGAAAUUUCGCAGAACUCUGUUUUUUCCCCUAUUUUUGCUCUGUUUUGGCUCCGAUUUCGACCCGAUUUUUUUCUUUCAAUCUCCUUGAAAUUUCUUCCACCUGGGAUCAUUUAAAACGAUUAAAACACACCUAAAAACAUGAUUUAAGAUCAAAAACUAAGAUCAAAAGUAUGGAAACAACUUGGAAAUUUACAAAAUUUACAAAAAUUUUGGACUGUGGUAAAACCACGUCCAGCAAACCCUUUUUUCCUUAGGCUUUUUGAGGCUCAAGGAGGUUGAUCUCCUCCUUUUCUGGUUUGAAUGGCUCCAUAAAUGGCUUGAGACGAUAUCCAUUGACUUUAAAGCUGUCCUUGCCAUUGGAAUUCAAUAAUUCCACCACUCCAUUGGAAUAUACUCGGUGAAUAAUGAACGGGCCUAUCCACCUUGACUUGAGCUUCCCAGGAAAGAUAUGGAGUCUUGUGUCGUACAGCAAAACUCUUUGCCCUUCUUGAAAUUCCUUGUUAGAGAUGAGUUGGUCAUGCCACUUCUUCAUCCUCUGUUUUGCAACUUUGGAAUUGAUAUAAGCAUUAUUUCUUAAUUCCUUCAUCUCAUUAAGGUCUAGAAAUCUCUUUUCUCCUGCCUUGAUCAAGUCCAUGUUCAGCUUCUUUAUUGCCACCAAGCUUUGUAUUCAACUUCCACAGGGAGAUGGCAUGCUUUGCCAUAGACAAGACGAUAGGGAGACAUCCCAAGAAUAGUCUUAUAAGCUGUUCUAUAUGCCCACAAUGAAUCAUGAAGCCUAAUAGACCAAUCUUUUCUGUUGGAAUUCACCACUUUCAUCAAGAUGUUCUUUAUUUCCCUGUUAGCUAGCUCAACUUGCCCGGAAGUCUGAGGAUGAUAAGGUGUAGCCACCUUAUGCUUCACUCCAUACUUGGAUAACAGAGCUUCAAAAGGUUUGUUACAAAAAUGAGCACCUCCAUCACUGAUUAUGGCUUUGGGCACCCCAAAUCUUGAGAAAAUGUUCUCUUUAAGAAACUUGAGAACCACCCUGUGAUCAUUUUGUUUACAGGGGAUUGCCUCAACCCACUUAGAAACAUAAUCCACCCCCACCAAGAUGUAAGAAUUACCAAAAGACAUUGGGAAAGGUCCUAUGAAGUCAAUGCCCCAUACAUCAAAUAACUCAACUAUCAGAAUGGGGUUCAUAGGCAUUUGAUUUCUUUUUGUUAGCUUUCCAAGCCUUUGGCAUCUAUCACAACUCCUACACAUGAUGUGGGCAUCCUUAAAAAGAGAUGGCCAAGUAAACCCUGAUUGCAAUACCUUCAUGGCUGUUUUCUGAGAGGCAAAGUGGCCUCCACAUGCAUUCUCAUGACAAUGAGAUAGAAUCCCUUGCUGCUCAUCUUCAGGGACACACUUCCUUAUGAUCUGAUCUGCACAAUACUUAAAGAGAAAGGGCUCUUCCCAAUAAUAAGAAUGAAUUUUGGCAAAGAAGUGCUUCUUGUCCUGUGCAUUCCACUAACUUGGAAUUUCACCAGUUACUAAAUAAUUGGCAAUAUGAGCAAACCAAGGAGUUUUCACUAGAAACAUGAGUGAUUCUUCAGGAAAAUUAUCAUUAAUAGGCAAGGGAUGGGAGUUAUGUGCUAUAACUAACCUUGACAAGUGGUCAACUACUACAUUCUCCACUCCUUUCUUAUCUUUGAUUUGAAGAUCGAAUUCUUGUAACAAAAGAAUCCAUCUAAUCAACCUUGCUUUUGCAUCUUGCUUUGUCAAUAAAUACUUCAAGGCUGAAUGGUCAGUAAAGACUAUGAUGAAAGACCCCACUAAAUAAGCUCGAAAUUUGUCCAAAGCAAAUACCACAGCUAACAAUUCUUUCUCUGUAGUUGUGUAGUUCCUUUGAGCUUCAUUCAGUGUUUUACUUGCAUAGUAAAUCACAUAGGGCUUCCCAUCUUCUCUUUGGCCAAGCACAGCUCCUAUAGCAAAGUCACUGGCAUCACACAUCAGUUCAAAAGGUAAUUGCCAGUUAGGGGCUCUUACUAUUGGAGUUGUUGUUAAAAAUUUCUUCAGUUGAUCAAAGCUAUUUUGACACCUUUCAUCCCAUAUAAACUUAGCAUCCUUAGCUAACAGCUCAUAAAGAGGUUUUGAAAGACUUGAAAAACCUUUUAUAAACCUCCUAUAGAACCCUGCAUGGCCAAGGAACUGCCUUACUCCUUUUACAGUUGUUGGAGAUGGUAAUUUGACAAUAAGCUCCACCUUUGCUUUAUCAACUUCAAUGCCUUUUUCAGAGAUGAUAUGGCCAAGGACAAUUCCUUGAUGUACCAUAAAAUGACAUUUUUCCCAAUUAAGGACCAGGUCUUUUUCAAUGCAUCUAUGAAGAACUGCUUCCAAAUUAACCAAGCAUUCCUCAAAUGUACCUCCAUAUACGGUGAUGUCAUCCAUGAAAACCUCCAUAAUUCGCUCCACCAUAUCACUGAAAAUACUCAACAUACAUCUUUGAAAUGUAGCAGGUGCAUUGCAUAAACCAAAAGGCAUUCUCCUGUAAGCAUAUGUUCCAAAUGGACAUGUAAAAGUGGUCUUUUCCUGAUCUGCCAAGUCAAUUUCAAUAUGAAAAUACCCUGAAUACCCAUCCAAGAAACAAUAGAAUGGAUGUCCAGAGACUCUCUCCAGCACUUGGUCAAUAAAUGGCAAUGGAAAAUGAUAUUUCCUGGUUACAGCAUUCAGCUUUCUAUAAUCAAUACAGACUCUCCAACCUGAAGUGAGACGUGUAGUAAUUUCUUCUCCUUUUUCAUUCUAAACCACUGUGAUCCCUGACUUCUUUGGUACCACUUGAGUAGGACUCACCCAAGGGCUAUCAGAUAUAGGGUAAAUGAUUCCUGCUUGAAGUAGCUUCAGCACUUCAGCUCGCACCACCUCUUGUAGAUGAGGAUUCAACCUUCUUUGAAAUUGACGAAUUGGCUUUGCUUCCUCCUCCAUAUAUAUAUAUGAUGAGUACAAACUAAAGGACUAAUGCCUUUCAAAUCAGAUAUUUGCCAUCCUAUUGCUUUCUUACACCUCUUGAGAACUUCUAUUAAACAAUUCUCUUGAUGAUUGGUCAGAGAUGAAGAUAUCACAACAGGACAUUGAUUAUUUUCUUCAAGAUAUGUAUAUUUCAGCUCCAUAGGUAAAGGCUUCAGAUUGAGUUUUGGAAUUUCUUUUUCAACAGCUGUCUCCUCUUCUUUAUUGAACAAAGGUAGAAUUUCUUCUAUCUUUCUCCAACUUUGUAGAGUAGCUAGCACAGUUGGAGAUUCAGACAAAACUUCCUCAAAAUCCACAAGACUUUCAUUCAACUUGUCUUGCAUAUUUUGAUUACAGUGCUCCUCCACCAAAGUAUCAAUAAUGCAUAGCUCUUCUGGUCCUUCUUCUUCUUCUGGAGUGAUUUGCUUUUUAGACAUAUAGAAAAUAUUGAGAUCCAGUGUCAUGUUACCAAAAGUGAGUUGCAUAAGCCCAUUCCUGCAGUUGAUGAUUGCAUUUGAAGUAGCAAGAAAUGGCCUUCCAAGGAUGAUAGGAACUAAAUUAGCUUCCUUUACAGUAGGAUCUGUAUCAAGAACAAUAAAAUCUACUGGAUAGUAGAAAUUAUCUACUUGAACCAAUACAUCCUCAAUUACCCCUCUUGGAAUUUUCACUGAUCUAUCUGCCAGAGAUAAAGUGAUUGCUGUUGGCUUCAACUCUCUAAGGCCUAAUUGCUUGUAGACAGAAUAAGGAAGCAAAUUCACACUUGCUCCCAAAUCUAGCAAGGCUUUCUCCACUACCUUUCCUCCAAUCAUGACUGAAAUGGUAGGACUUCCAGGGUCUUUGUACUUCAAAGGAGACUUACAUUGUAAGAUUGCACUUACUUGCUCAGCCAAGAAGGCUUUCUUGUUUACAGUCAACCCUCUUUUGAUAGUACAUAAGUCCUUUAGGAAUUUUGCAUACGUUAGAACUUGUUUAAUCAUAUCCAACAGUGGAAUAUUAACUUUCACUUGCCUCAAGACUUCAAGAAUUUCAGCUGCAUUUCUAACCCCCUUUUUCCCAUGUAAUGCUUGAGGAAAAGGUGGAGAAGUUGAUUUCUUCAGCAUUUCUUCCUUCAGAAGCUCGUUCUCUGGAAUUACUUUCAUUGUUGAAUCAGAGUCCUUCUUUUCUUCACUGAUCUCACUCUCUUUAUCUUCCAUUUCCUUCCCUUUCUUUAUCUCUUCUUCUUUCUCAACAUGUGGCUUGGGUGUUGGCUGCUCAAUUUUUUUACCACUCCUUAGAGUGAUCAAGGCUUUGACAUCUUUCACCUGUGAUGAUUCUCCCUCCUGGCUUUCCACUUCAUGGACACCUUUGGGAUUUUGGUGAGGUUGAGAAGGAAAUCUUCCCUUUUCUUGCAGUGUAUUCAAAUUUGUAAGCCUUGAAAUUGAAUAUUGGAUGUUAUCAAAUUUUUGGUUCAUAUCAUUUUGCAUUCCAUCCAUCCUUUUAUUCAACAUACUCUCCACUCUAUCAAUUCUUUGAUCGACUCGAGCAUUGGUGGCUUCUUGCUUUUCAAUAAAAUCUCCCAUUACCUUGUUGAGAUUAGCCAUUGCUUGUUCAAUACUUGAAGAUUGCUGAGAUGGUGGAUCCGGUUGUUGGUACUGAGUUGCUCUGGCCUUCCAUGAGAAAUUUGGAUGAUUCCUCCAACUUGAGUUGUAGGUAUUUCCAUAAGGAGCAUUGUUAUUGGGCCUGAAUUGUCCAACAACAUUUGCUUGAUCUCUAUACAUUUCCCUUUCAGCUGAAAUUGCAGGGCAUUCCUCCACCAAAUGUUCAUAUGAUUGACAAUUGGGACACAGCUUCACUUGCACUGGUGCUUCAGCAACAACUUGCACUUCAUGUAUUCUUUUCAGCUCCAACUCCUCCAAUCUUCUUGUCAUAGCUGCCAACUUUGCCUUCAUGUCAUCAUCUUCUUUCAAGGUAUACAUCCCAGCCUUUGCAUUGUAAGCAUUCAACUGAGACUUCAUCUUUCCCACUUCUCCUUUAGUUGGUUCAUCCCAUCCCCUUGAAACAUCAGCUACAUAGCUCAAGAAAUCCAUAGCUUCCUCUGGAUUUUUGCUCAUGAAAUCUCCUCCACACAUUGUCUCGAGGAGUUGCUUCAUUGAGAAGGACAUACCAUCAUAAAAAUAACUCACCAAUAGCCAUGUAUCAAAGCCAUGGUGAGGGCAAGCAUUUAUAGCUUCCAUGUAUCUCUCCCAACACUCAUAGAAUUUCUCAUUCUCUUUAGCUGAGAAGUUUGAAAUUUGCCUUUUCAAGCCAUUUGUUCUAUGAGUAGGAAAAAAUUUCUUGAGGAAUUCAGCUUGUAAAUCAGUCCAAGAGCGGAUACUCCUUGGCCUUAAAGAAUUAAGCCAAAUUUUGGCCUUAUCCUUUAAAGUAAAAGGAAAUAACUUAAGCCUCAUCAAAUCAAUUGAAGCUCCUCCCUCUUGGAAUGUAUUACAAACAUCUUCAAAUUCCUUGAUGUGUGCAUACGGAUUCUCACUCUCCAUCCCAUGGAAAGUUGGUAGGAGUGGAACAAGAUACGGUCUGAUCACUAGCUGCUCUGUAGGGGGCACUAUACAUGAUGGUGCACUCAUACGAGGUGGAUGCAUACGGUCCCUCAUUGAUUUGAAUUCAUUGAGAUUAUCUUGACGACCUUGGUGACUAUGCUGAUCUUCAGGUGUAGCUUCCAUGAUAUUCAAGAUCACUUCGAAUUCUUUUCUCUGAGGUGUAUCACACUUAACAAGCCUUCCUCCACUGUCUCGUAUCCACUUUGGCAUACACAACUAGUAUCUAUCUGCAACUAAAAAUGAAAACAAAAGACAACAAAAGAAACAGGGCUACAACAAUAAAAUUAAACUAGGCUAAAUUUAAAAAGAUAAACUUAGAUUAUGAAUAAACAAAGAAAGAAUGAAAAUUAGUAAAGUGAAAGAAACUUUACCAACUUGUGAUGAAAAUCACAAGUGCUCAAAAAAUGGUAUCACUAUAAACUUGACACUCAAUCCCCGGCAGCGGCGCCAUUUGAUUCGUGCCCAAUUGGUGUCUCAGCUGAUUUGUGUCCAGCUGGUGCUCCUUGAUUGAGGGAGUAAUCAACAAAAUUUAUAACCUAUAACACCAUAUACUAGGGUAGCAAAGAAAAAGCUACUAUAGUAUAGUGGCUCUAGGAUCGUCCACUGGGAAAGAUUAACAAGCUCUCAAUGAUACCAAUUCCAAGUGAAUUGGUUUUGUUUCAUUUCAUGGUUAGCUUAAGAAGUAAAACACAAACUUUGAUUGGUAAAGGUUUAGACUUAAACUAACUAACACAACAGAAGUUUGGAAUAAUUUAGGAAGAAAAGCAUUCCUUGGAGAUUUAGGUUCACUGGGGUGGUUCCUCAUGCAAAAGACACAGCUCUGGUCAGAUGGUUCAUUUCCUCGCGUUAGAGAUUCAACAUAUAGUUAAUUCUCUAACCGGUGUUGUACAGAGACUCCUUCAAUUAGAUUUCACUUUAAUUCUCUCACUGAUGCAACUUGCAAUGGUUUAAGCCUCUCACUAAGCCUUAACCAUUCAAGGUGAUCUUUAACCUUGGAUUACCCGUCAAAAGCUCGCAAGAGAUAACUAAUGGAUGUCUCCUAGGAGUCCAAAAGCUUACCAAGUGUUGGCUAUUCUAGAAAAUCCUACCUUGAAGUCACCUCCCAGAGGCUCGCAAGGGGUAAACUAGUGCCUUUCCAUGGUUGGAAAUCACUUACCUUACCAAGUGUUGGCCCAGGUGACUCUAAGGUGUUUUAAGUUAACUAAAAACAUAGAAAUCACUAAAGGAUUUCACUUCCUCUUCAUUACUAGCUAAAACCACAAAGCUCUUCAUUCUUGCACUUGGAACCUUCCCCGGCAACCUUAGCUCCAAGGAAUUAGAGGUUUAGUUACUCAUUCUCUGGGGAAAACUCCUCAGAGAAUUCAUAACUUAGAAAUAAAAUAAAAAUACAAAGUGAGAAGGUAAGGCAGUAGAAAGAAAAUAGACUUUACUUGCUUACCCAAACUUUUACAGAAAGAACUCCUCUCUGAGAACAGGCUCCCGAGAGGUAUAUAUAUGAACAUAAUAUAAAACUAAUUAUUACAUAGAUAUUUAGUCUUUUUACUAACUUAAAAACUAAGGAAUCAUGUAAUUGGUGGUUUACAAGGAAUAUUUUGGGAUUUAGACAACAAAAAUCUAAUGGAAAAUAUCUCCCAAUGUCGGUAGCAAAUAUCGGGAGGCUUCAGGAACCAUUUCGCAGGAGAAAAAUGGUGUCUGCGAGAUUUCGCAGACACUCAAGAGGGCUACGAAAUAAUUUCGCAACACCAAGCUAUUUUCACAGGGCUGCGAAGUUUGCUUCCACCUUGAGGUUCCAAGCUUCCUUCUCGCGGUAUAUGUCGGGCAACUUCAGAAGGAAACACACCCUACUAUACAAAAAGGUUGCGGAAUCACUUCGCAACAAAAGGGUGAUUUCGCAGCACUUUGCAAAAUGCUGCCUUCAGCUCGGAGUGAUUGGCUUGUAAUGGCUGCAACUUGUUCGUUUCAACUCCGAAUUGCACACCGUUUAAAGCAUUGGAUUGUUGACUUCCUGAGCUUUGAAAUGGUAUAUAGCAUGCAUCAUUUGGACUUCAGAAAGUUCUCCAAAAGUGGCUGCUAUGACUGUCAUCAAGAAUAUGCUUUAUGGCAGAUUCUCUUUGCUUUUUCUCCUUGCAAUCCGGAUUUACUCUUGGAAAAUGACUUCUAAGCUUUGCCCAAGAUUCCUCAUAGGUCUCCUCAGACUUGACUUGCUUUGGUGAUCAAAAUACUAACAAAAACACCAAAACUUACACAAAGUGAUCAAAAUUGCUUUCAAGGGUCAUUAACAUGCCAAUUGAGUUAAAAGGCCAAAACUACUACUCAAAAGUGUUUAAAAGGAUUAAUUAUAGGCUAUCAAAUAGCACUUUUUGAGUAGUAAUCAAUAGGGUAAUUAACAUGUUGAACUAACGGAAAAGUAGUUUAAACAUAGUUAACAAUAGUGAACUUUCUCUAUAACAUUGUCUUUGUGGCUUAGUCACCUAUUUGUUUAAUUUUGUGUGGUUGAAAAUUCAGUUAAGCUUUUCUAUCUUACAUGGUUGUUGUAGGAGCCAUUUGCUAUUGAAGAAUAUUGAAAGACUAUUUUACAAGUUUUUUUUAGUUGUUGCACUCUUCUCCACUGAGCUUUAGCUCAUACUUUAUUUUUCUAAAAAUGAUUUUCUAGGCUAAGCUGGAGGCAUACAGGAAAUGAGGAACACUAGAAAAUUUUAUAGAAAUUGAAGACUUGUUGGUUGUAUAGUUUCACUAGCUAUAAACAAAGUCAGGACUACAGGUUUGAAACAAAAUAUACUCUUAUAGUUGCAUACUUUCAUCCUGCAGGUGACCCAUUGCAACUUUCACACCAUACAACUAUUUCCAAAAAUAAAUAGAAAUUAAGAUAGACAAUCCAUUUAUUUCUUCCUCUAGUUCUCUCCACUGGCAUGCAUGUUUCUCCUUCUCACUAAAAAGAGGAAUCAAUUCUUUCUCACGGCAAGUCUCAAUGGCUCCUUUUUGCAUGUCUCCAUACUUGAAUUGGAACCCCAAGUCUGUCAACUUCUUUGAUGAGAAAGAGACAACCUUCAGGUUCCUACCAAUGUCGUUGAACCUGUUCAUUGUGUUGAGCAUACCAUUACUCAAUCUAAAUACACAUUUUACAGCCUUAUAAUUUCUAAUACAUAAAUGAAUUUAUUGGAAGGAAAAGAUAUUUCUUACUCAGUAGGGACAUGGUAAUUCAGGUAUUUCCCCCUGGUUAAAUCAGCUAGAUCGUAAAUGGUGGCAUCAUGAGAAGAGCAAAUGUAGCGUUCCUCUACUUUAGGAUGCUCAUACAGGUAAAUGUGAGCAUUGCAGAACUAUCAUAUCAAUCAAAAGGUCCAGCAAAACUGAAAGAAAAAAAAAAUGAAGAAGACCAAUGACCAAAGUUGUAAAUCCAUGUAAACAAAACUCAAGAGCUUACCAUUACCAGCUCUCUCAUUUCCACUACAGGGCCGCUUCCCACUCGUAAGUCCUACAUUUGUUUUAAAUGUGAAAUUAAAAUAAAUUAACUAAAACACAAGCAUAUUGUGCAAGUUGACAUACAAAAAGACGACCUUGUACUGAAGACCCGGUGUUGUUUCCGUGUAGUCUGGAAGCCACGUCUUCAUCUUUCCAUAAUUCUUCCCUCUGAGCACUGACACUAUAAGCCCAACAAACAUGCCAAAAUAAGUCUUUACAACUAAAAAUUGCAAUUGAGAUUAUAAUAGACAAUCUAUACACGAUUACACCUGCAUAUAGCUUAUUUUGACAACCCUGUAAUCUGAAACCCAACAAUUCAUUUCUUAGUGAAAUUGGAAGAAAGGUGAACAUCUAACUUACUAUCUAUUGAGCCACCUCAAGAUCCUUUGAAAUUGCUAUUUACUCAACAAAAUGACAUUGGAUCAUGCUGUAAAGGUGAUAUCAAUGUCCCAAUCUCAUAUAACCGAUAUUCUAGUUUGUUUUUAGAACUUACUAAUCAUCCCAAGACACUUUUAAUCAAACAUUAAUUUUAUAAUUUAUCUAUAUAUCAAAGUUGAAUCACUAAGAUCAUAUCAACUCCAAGUUUACCAAAUUAUAUAUAUAAGAAAAUUCAUAGGAAUUGAAACUUACAUAUCCAUUUGAAGAAAUCCACAAACAAGCUGUACUUCACACUGUUUACAUGCCAUAGGGUAACAGUUUGAUCAUUAGCAUACAUGUACCAUCAACAAUUCAUGGCAUAGUGAACUUGAGCUUCCAGCUUAUCGUAACCUACCAACUUAGUCUCAAAGGAUGGGUAAGUGGGCCUUUGAGAUGGAGCACCUGCAACUCAAAAAAGGAAAUAAGCUUGUUAGCAUGAAAAGAAACUUUUUGUUGCAAAAUGAUAAUAGGAUCAUUAUUUUCAAUCAAACACAAGCUAUUUAGUCAAACAGGUUAAUAAUCGAUCACUCAAUGUCCUCUGUUCUUCUAAAUUGUUAGAAUUUUGGAGAAGCAUCAACACAUUGAUAUUGCAUCAAGCCUUUUAUCGUAUAAAAAAAAUUCACAUCAGGCUUUGCUACUUACCAGUUGAAAGAGCGUUGGUGUUUGGACCUCAACAACGUCAUCAGCCUCACUGCUUGAACAAAAGGAAAUGCUUUGUUGACUCCCUGAGGAUAUGGCAAGAAAAGGGAUGUAUAAGUCUUAUUUUGUUUAUUUGGUGCAUUUGGAAGAAGCAUAACUACCAAACCUUUAAUGGAGAAGAGACAUCCAAUCAAAAGCUGAAGGAAACCCUCAUUAUAUUCAUUCUGGAGUAAUCCAGGCCCUGUCUAGGGAUGACUAAUUGUAUAUUGUUAAGACUUAAUAGAUAGUCUUCAUUGUGGAUAAAAGGUUAUAGCUUUAAUGUCUUUUUUGUGAAAAUAGCCAAGUUUGAACCUCUGUUAGCCUAUUAAAAGGUAAAAAAUAAAAAUAAAUAAAAAUAGAGAAGAAAGAUCUAGAAGCCUAAAACUAGACAUCUUCUCUAUCAUAACAACUGAGAAGAGUAAGAAGAGUAUACAAAGAACCAAUAUAGAGAUAAACAAUGAAAUCAAAGGAAAAACAACAAUAAUUGAGAAAGACAAUAUUAGGAAAUCCCAAAUAAAUUCUGCCAUUACGAGGCAAAUAACCUCUAUCAUAAAUCACAAUAUUUAAAUGAUAGAGGUUGUCUGGGCACCAAACCUUAAUCUUAGAACCAAUAAAAUUUGGAAGGCCAAAUUUUCAAAGAAACAUGGCUAUCAUCUCAUAUUUCGAAUUUCUGUUUACCUCCAACCUCCUAGGAUAAUUAACAUUGUUACUAGGGGUCUUAUCUGAACAACCUAUAUGGUUUCCAUUGGGUAUAAGAGUUGAUUUUUUUUACUUUAGACCCAUAUCCAACUAGGUAGCUCUAAAAAGAGAUUCCUUUCACUUUCUACUUCUUUGCAUCUUUGCAUGUUUAAUCAGGACAAUCAUUCAGAGUUCUUUGCAAUAGAGAUCCAAAUACAGUAAAAAGAUUAUGCUAUUGCUUGAAUUUAAAUGAAUUAAUCAGCAAGAUAUUUCUUAGCCAUUUUCCCUCUUCAUCAUAGAGGAAACAAAUGGAUGCUUUCACAAGGUCUGAGCCAUAUUCAUCUACGCAUUAUUUUUUUUAUUUUAGAACUGAAGAUACAUUUAAAAAAACAUUGUUCGAAGCCAGAGCAGGGUCAUUGAGGGUUUUCUCUUAGAUGGUUUCAAACUGAGGGGUGUGGUUUAUAUAUGGGCAGCUAUGGUAGCAGUAAAGUCAUAUUGUUUUUAUCUGCAGAGAACAGAAGUCCCCAACCAUAAGAGCAUAUUGGUUGCGGUGAGAAAUAGUCCCCUGUUAUAGGUAGAAUGCAAACCCCCUACAAACGCAGUUCAUAUAGUGGUCGCAAGACUAGAAUUUAUCGGGAAUGCCAUCCCUAAAUUCUCCCUCUAUGAAGUAAUUUUUAGUCACAAAUUUUGAUAACCCCUAUUAAAACUAUACAACUAUAAUCUAUAUUUUUUUGUAGUGAUAUAUAUAUAUAUAUAUACAUACUAGUAGGAUAUUGUAAAUGAAAGGAAUAGAAGAUUGUACUAAUGACUGUGUAAAAAUAACUAUUGUUUUAUAGGAACUUAAUGAAGGUUCAUCUUUUUGGAGAUGUACAAAUUUGAUUUUGAUUAUAGAAAUCUAAGUUUUUAGUUAUAAAUAAACUUUUAAGGUUUAAAAUUAUUCAAUAAAAAGUUUAAAAGUGAUUUUCAAAAGUUCUAGGUGUGAAAAAAUAAAGGAAAUAUGAAAAACAAGAAAAUUUCAGGGACUGGCAAAGGUGUUGGGUGUGCCUUGUUAAGGCACACAAAACUUUUUAAACCAAAGGUACGUAGAAGGAUUGCUAUGAGGUGUGUGAAAAUAAUUUAAAGGAGAAAUAGGGGUGGAUAGUAUUUGUUUCAAUGUUUAGGUGUGCAAAUUAAGUGGUGGUGCAUAGGAUUUACUUAAAGGAAAGGUGCACAACUUGGCGGUGGUGUGUUUAAUUUGUUUAAAAGGUAAGGUGCACAACUUAAGUAGUGGCACACGGAAUUCGUUUUAAUACAAAUGGUGUGAAUCUUAAGUGGCACACCUCUCAACUCAACGACCUUAGUUUAGCUAUCCUAACUUCGGUAGCUCAAAACAAUACACUUUCAUCUUAACUUGCACAUCUCUCAACUCAACUACCUCACUUUAUCCCGCUACCUUAAUUCUAGCACCUCAACUCAACAUUCUAUUUAUAUUGUAAACAUUUAAGUAAAUGUCCUCAUUUAUACCUCAAUUUAUUCUAAGUUUACAAUGUAAAUAAAAGAAUACCCCCAUUUGAAUUCCAUAAAAUACUUUUAGAAGCUAAGACCAAGUAAAUCAAAAUCAGCCUUAUAAUUUCUAAUACAUAAAUGAAUUUAGUGGAAGGAAAAGAUAUUUCUUACUCAGUAGGGACAUGGUACUUCAGGCAUUUCCCCCUGGUUAAAUCAACUAGAUCGUAAAUGGUGGCAUUAUGAGAAGAGCAAAUGUAGUGUCCCUCUACUUUAGGAUGCUCAUACAUGUAAAUGUGAGCAUUUCAGAACUAUCAUAUCAAUCAAAAGGUCCAGCACAACUGAAAGAAAAAAAAUGAAGAAGACCAAUGAGCAAAGUUGUAAAUCCAUGUAAACAAAACUUAAGAGCUUACCCCUACCGGCUCUCCCACCUUCGGUGCAGGGCCGCUUCCCACUCAUAAGUCCUACAUUUUUUUUAAAUGUGAAAUUAAAAUAAAUUAACUAAAACACAAGCAUAUUGUGCAAGUUGACAUACAAAAAGGUUUGACAAAUGUUAUUUAAUAGGUGACCUUGUAUUGAAUACCUGGUGUUGUUUCCGUGUAGUCUGGAAACCACGUCUUCAUCUUUCCAUGAUCCUUCCCUCCGAGCACUAACACUAUAAGCCCAACAAACAUGCCAAAAUAAGUCUUUACAACUAAAAAUUUCAAUUGAGAUUAUAAUAGACAAUCUAUACAUGAUUACACCUACAUAUAGCUUAUUUUGACAACCUUGUAAUCUGAAACCCAACAAUUCAUUUCUUAGUGAAAUUUGAAGAAAGGUGAACAUCUAACUUACUAUCUAUUGAGCCACCUCAAGAUCCUUCGAAAUUGCUAUUUACUCAACAAAAUGACAUUGGAUCAUGCUGUAAAGGUGAUAUCAAUGUCCCAAUCUCUUAUAACUGAUAUUCUAGUUUUUUUUUAAACUUACUAAUCAUCUCAAGACACUUCUAAUCAAACAUUAAUUUUAUAAUUUAUCUAUAUAUAAAAAGUUGAAUCACUAAGAUCAUAUCAACUCCAAAUUUACCAAAUUAUAUAUAUAAGAAAAUUUAUAGGAAUUGAAACUUACAUAUCCAUUUGAAGAAAUCCACAAACAAGCUGUACUUCACACACUGUUUACAUGCCAUAGAGUAAUUGUUUGAUCAUUAGCAUACAUGUACCAUCAACAAUUCAUGGCACAGUGAACUUGAGCUUCCAGCUUAUCCUAAUCUACCAACUUAGUCUUAGAGGAUGGGUAAGUGGGCUUUUGAGAUGCAACACCUGCAACUCAAAAAAGGAAAUAAGCUUAUUAGCAUGAAAAGAAACUUAAUGUUGCAAAAUGAUAAUAGGAUCAUUAUUUUCAAUCUAACACAAGCUAUUUAGUCAAAUAGGUUAAUAAUUGAUCACUCAAUGUCCUCUGUUGCUCAAAAGUGUUAGAAUUUUGGAGAAGCAUCAACACAUUGAUAUUGCAUCAAGCCUUUUAUCAUAUAGAAAAAAUUCACAUCAGGCUUUGCUACUUACCAAUUGAAAGAGCAUUGGUGUUUGGACCUCAACAACAUCAUCAGCCUCACUGCUUGAACAAAAGGAAAUGCUCUGUUGAAUCCCUGAAGAUAUGGCAAGAAAAGGGAUGUAUAAGUCUUAUUUUGUUUAUUUGGUGCAUUGGGAAGAAGCAUAACUACCAUACCUUUAAUGGAGAAGAGACAUCCAAUCAAGAGCAAUUGCGUCCAAAGAUCCUCAUCGAUUUGUGGUGAAAGAAGCUGUUGGAUUACAACAUGUUGAAUUACAAGAUUGGCAAUGGAUGGAUGAGUGCAGAAAUUGCACUCGCAUCUCUUUGAAAUGCAAAAACAUCGAUGAGCUUCCUCAAGGAUUAGUUUGUCCCCAACUUGAAUUCUUUUCACUCAAGUCAAGUUAUUACUAGGAAAUUCCAGACGCCUUUUUCCAAGAGACCACACAACUCAGAGUUUUAGAUUUGUCUGAAGCGUCUCUUACACCAUCUCCUUCAUCACUUUGCUUUCUUUCAAAUCUUCGCACAUUGUGUCUAAAUGGAUUCAUGGCCCAAGACAUUGCAGUAAUUGGAGACUUGAAGAGACUACAAGUUCUUAGUUUGGCAAAUUCCAGGAUUAUUCGGUUGCCAAAAGAAAUGAUGCAGUUGAGUGAUUCAAGGGUGUUGGAUUUGCGGAAUUGCACCGACCUCAAAUUAAUUCCACGAAAUGUUAUAUCAAGUCUAUCUCGAUUAGAAUAUUUGAGCAUGAAAGGAAGUUAUCGUAUUGAAUGGCAGGCAAAAAUACAAGAGCCUAGAAAUCAGAAAGUGCAUCAAAAGAAAAUAUAGCAAAAUUUUCAUCUGAACAAAAAUAGCCCUAGAAAUCAAUAUUCAAUACAAAAAUUUAAUAGUACUCGAAGAGAGGAAGAAUGAAACCAUAGAAAAAAAGAUAAAGUUGAUUCGAAGAAAUUGAUUAGGAUUUUCUCUUUGUAGCGAUGAACGAUAAGGCAACUGCUAGGAAAUAAUAAUAAUAAUAAAUAAAUAAAUAAAAAUAAAAAACUAAAGAAAUUCCACUCAACAUUAUAAAAAGGACAAUUUUGUGAGAAAAUGUAAAAUAAUACAAAAGGUUAAUGUUAUAACUAAUUAGAAUGUUAAAAUCUAUUAGAUUUUCCAUUCAGUGAUGAUCGUCUCUAAUCCAACAUUAGGUGAUUUUUCCAUUCAUAAAUUUUAGCUUAUCAAAAUAAAGUAAUUUGAAAAUUUAUAGUAAAGAGCUGUUUUUCUUUUACAACCAUUGCCUUUACUUCAAGAAUAAGUUAACAAUGUUUUCUUAUAAACAAUACCAAGGUAGAAAGAGUAUGUGUGUGUGUGUGUGUGAGAGAGAGAGAGAGAGAGAGAGAGAGGGAGGGAAAGUUAUACCAUUUAACUUUGAAGACUCCUCCAUAGUCUAGCCAUAUUUAUUGUUGUAGUCACAUAGAGCCAAUCUUUUAUUUUAUUCAAAAACUGGAAAUAAGAAUGCCUCCAUGUAUUGUUGAGCAGUAGAGCUCCACACACUCCCCAGAAUCCAACAAUGAAUCCAAGAGCAAUGCUAACAUAAAACCACAUGUCAUUUCCAUCUUGUUGAAUUUUGUCUUCAUAGCUAGAAGCAUUGGGAGCUCCUGUUGCUCUAUCUUCUGGGCACUUUUUCAAAAGAGGCAAUCCACAAAGUCUAGGAUUUCCCUCAUAAGCAGAAGCAUUGAAGCUUUGAAGUUGAGUACCUUGUGGAAUCUUACCAGAUAAGUUGUUGUUAGAGAGGUCUAAGGUACUCAGACGAUCUAUUUCUGAAAGGCUAGAUGGAAUUUCACCAAUAAGCUGAUUUUGAGACAAAUCAAGAACAUCUAAUGAUUUCAGUUGACCAAUUGUUGUAGGGAUCAAUCUAGUCAAAUUGUUUCUUGAAAAGUUCAACGAAACCAAUUCUAGAAGAUCAGUUACUUCUUUUGGAAUCUCCCUCGUUAGCUUGUUGCUUGAAAAAUCAAUACUCUUUACUAGUCCAAGAGUAUUCUUAUACUCAAAUUCUCUUCCUUUCCAUUUAACCAAUUCCCUAUCAACAUAGGACCAAUCUCCCAAACUAACAAUUGGAUUAUCAAGUGAAUAAUUAUAAGUAAUGCUCAAACUCCUUUUCUUAGUCAUGGCAGUGAGAUUGCUAAGACAUCUUGGUAUAGUACCCGACAUAUUGUUACCAGAGAGGUCUAAUAUUUGAAUUUUUUUCAAUUGACAUAUCUCUGGACUUAUACUUCCACUAAAUUUAUUAGAUCGUAGGUUUAGAACCGUUAGAUUUGGAAGGUUUCCUUCUAUCCAUGGGGGUAUUUUCCCGGAUAACCUAUUUUUUGCCAAAUCAAUAAAGCUCAAACUUUUGCAUUUCUUUAAAGAUGAAGGUAAUUCUCCGAUCAAAUUGUUGUUGCGUAAAUGCAGUGUUUGAAUCAAUUGUAAAGAGCCAAAUGAUUUUGGAAUUUUCCCAAAAAAUUGAUUAUUCUCCAAAUUUAGAAUUGUUAAGCUUUUCCACCGGGACUAACAAUUGGGCAGCUCUUCCGAUAAUAAGUUGUUUGAGAGAUCAAGAUAGACUAGAUAUGAAUUAGCAACUGUACACAAUAAAUUAAUGGAGCCUAAAAACUUGUUAUUGGAGAGAUCCAACCAUGCCAAGUCAGAAGGAAGUUGUGGUAUUGAACCCUCCAAAUAAUUUGAGCUCAUAUCUAUGUAAAGAGAAUAAUCAAAUUCCGAUGAUAUAUUAGGUAGGGUCCCUGUGAUCUGAUUGUUGGAAAUAUUAAAGGCAUAGAUACUGGAAGUUAAAUUCCAAAACCAGUCUGGGAUGACAUUUGAAAUGUUAGAAUUGGAGAUAUCAAGGUAACCCAACUGGUUUUGAGUUCGAAGCCAACUAGGAAAACGAGGUCCCAAUUGGCAGGAGACUAAUAGUAGAGACCUCAACUGAAAAGGAGGAACCCACUUAGAGCUCAUGUUGAAAGUGAGAGAGUUGGAAGAUAAGUCUAAAUAGGACAACUGGGAUAGAUGAAGGAGAUGAGCCUCAGAGAUGUUGCCUUGCAAUGAAUUUGAAUUAAUAUCCAACGCUUCAAGUUUGGUACGGUGUCCAAUACUUGUAGGCAAUGUUCCAUUUAGCUGAUUAUAACCAAGAUAUAACACUCCCAAGGAUGAAAAUCCAGUGAGAUCAGGAAUCGAUCCUCUCAACUGGUUAUCAGAUAAAGACAAAGUAUCUAAUGUGUCAUUUGCGCAAGACAGCAAGUCUAAGACUUGUGGAAGUUGUCCACUAAGAUUGUUGCUUUGCAAGUCUAAUUUUUGUAAACGACAUAAAUUGCUCAAGGAUUUUGGAAUCUCACCUUCAAGUUUAUUCGCAUCGAGAUAGAGUUGUUCAAGGGAAGUCAUGUUCCCAAAUGCCUCUGGAAUUGAACCCUGUAGUUGAUUCUCACACAUAUCCAGAUAUGUAAGAGAAACCAUGUUCCCAAAUGCCUCUGGAAUUGAACCUUUUAGCUUAUUCCCAGACAUAUCAAGAUAUUCAAGGGAAGUCAUGUUCCCAAAUGCCUCUGGAAUUGAACCCUGUAGUUGAUUCUCAUGCAUAUCCAGAUAUGUAAGAGAAACCAUGGUCCCAAUUACGUCUGGAAUCGAACCAUUUAAAUGAGCAUUCCAAGAGAGAUCAAGAUGAACAAGGGUGGUGGUAAAGUUGAACAACCAUGGGUAUAUUGAAGAAUCAAAAUCAUUGUAAGAAAGAUCAAGGAAAACAAGAGGGGCAGAUGAAUAAACAGGGGAAAGAGACGGAGUAGUGAGGGGUGGGAGGCUACAGUAUCGUAAAUUUAAGUGAAUGAGAGAAAGGAGUUUAUUAAUUGCUUGUAACCAGUGGAUGGCUUUACUAAGAUCAAGACUCUCAAGGUCAAGGUGUCUUAAAGACGAAAGAUGAGAAAGCCACUCAAGAUUUCCACAAUUCAAAUCAUAAUUAUAGCUGAGAUCAAGGGAAAGCAAGUUGGAAAGAUUUCCGAAAUGGCUGGGAGGACGUCUAGUAAAAUUGGCAUCAGAGAGAAUGAGGUGUUGGAUUUUGGGGAGAGAAACAAGGAAUGGAGGUAUGGGUCUCCCUUCAAAAUCAUUAUCACUGAGAUCAAGGGAAAGCAAGUUGGAAAGAUUUCCGAGUUGGCUGGGAAGAUGUCCAGUGAAAUUGGCAUAAGAGAGACUGAGGUGUUGGAUUUUGGUGAGAGAAGCAAGGAAUGGAGGUAUGGGCCUCCCUUCAAAAUCAUUACCACUGAGAUCAAGGGAAAGCAAGUUGGAAAGAUUUCCGAGUUGGCUGGGAAGACGUCCAAUGAAAUUGGCAUAAGAGAGAUUGAGGUAUUGGAUUUUGGAGAGAGAAGCAACAAAUGAAGGUAUGGGACUCCUUUCAAAAUCAUUACAGUUGAGAUCCAAAUGAGUCAAGUGCUCCAACUCAAGCAGUGAAGGACUUAUCUCACCUCUUAGAGACUUGUACUCAUCCUCAAAUUCAAUUGGCGGUGCAGGAAGAUGAAGCAUGACGAUGUGACCUUACUGGUUGCUACACUGGACUCCUCUCCAUUGGCAACAAUCUCUUGUGUUCCAAGAAGACAAAAUGCCGUAGUCAUCCACAAGCCCAUGUUUGAAGCGAAGCAGAGCUUGUCUCUCCCUCUCUACGCACCCCACAGUGGUUCCAAGCCCAACUUUGGCACAUGCCACCACAAGCACAAGAAAGCUAAAAAGGAGGCAUUCAAAGG
rnacentral:lncRNA from 1 species